rnacentral:lncRNA from 1 species
GCAGACAUGGUUGCUGCCACUGGUACCAUGGACAUUGCCAAAGAUGCUGUCCACCUGCUGAGGAGACCCCUGAACAUCGUUGCAGACAUGGUUGCUGCCGCUGGUACCAUGGACAUUGCCAAAGAUGCUGUCCGCCUGCUGAGGAGACUUGCAGACAUGGUUGCUGCCACUGGUACCAUGGACAUUGCCAAAGAUGCUGUCGAACUGCUGAGCAGACCCCUGAAGCUACAUCCGGAGAUGAGGUAAAAAAUUAACGCUAAAUAAAUAAGGGCGUGACACAGGAUCCGUGACACCUAUAUUAUUACCUUAAUAUGUUAUGUUGUGUUUGCUUUUAAUGGUUGAUUUCCUAUAUGUGUAAAAGACUUGUGCGGCUUCUCUUUGAAUUGGUGUAGAAUCAACGGGGGAAGCAUGUAAUGAGUACUCAGUUCGAGUGCUCUUCUUAUGUUGUUGUCAUGUUGAAUAAAUAAAUCUACUUGAUCAUCUACUACAAUUGAUGAUGCUUUGACUUUACCUCGUAAACGUGUCAUUUCACAAAUCUCAGGUUUUCAAGCUAAGUCACUUCCUCUUCGAUAUCUUGGCUGUACUCUCUAUUCAGGGAGAAGGAAAAGCAGUUAUUUUUCAGAUAUCUGCACUUCAGUUGCUAAGAGAAUUCUGUCUUGGAAGGAGAAGCUUUUGUCAUCUGGAGGGAGGUUAGUGUUACUCAAAAAUGUUCUAUCAUCUUUGCCUAUUCAUGUCUUAGCUGCUACAACUCCUCCAAAGGGUGUUCUCCGCACCCUUGAGAAAGCAUUUGCAAAUUUUCUAUGGGGCACAACUGAUAAAGGGUCUCGGUAUCAUUGGAUUGCAUGGGAUUCAUUGUGUAAGCCGUAUGCCGAAGGGGGUGUGGGAGUGAGGGCUUUGACUGAUGUGUUUAAUGCCUUUUCAUUGAAGUUAUGGUGGUCUUUAAGGCAACGUCAGUCUCUUUGGGCAGAAUUUAUGUACAAUAAAUAUUUACAUAAAUUGCAUGCUUGCGAAGCGGAAUUUCAGCCUUUACAAUCGGUAACUUGGAAGAGAUUGGUUACAUAUCAGUCUUUGGCAAAUUCCCAUAUUCAAUGGGUGUUGCAGAAUGGCUUGAUAAACUUCUGGCAUGAGAAUUGGACUGGUACAGGUCCUUUAUGUCAGCAGAUCGACAUUUUUGGAGAUCACACAGUGGCGGAUUUUGUUUCAAAUGGUCAAUGGAACAUUCCAAUGCUUCGACAAUGGCUCCCAGAAAACAUUGUAUCUACGAUUCUACAAAUCAUUCCCCCGGAUGUUGUUUCUAAUCAACCUGAUAGGAUGGUGUGGGAUUUAGAAAUUUCUGGUUCAUUUUCCUUUUCUUCAGCCUAUAAGGUGGUCCGCACCGUUGCCAAUUCGUCAAUCUUUUCAUCUACCAUUUGGGUGAAAGACUUGCCAGCAAAAAUCUCAUUCUUUAUGAUGAGAAUGCUAUCUUGGAGACUGCCGGUUCUGGAUGUGUUGCAGCGCUUUGGUGUGUGCGGACCAUCUCGUUGCGUUUGCUGCCAAAAUCCUGGGUUUGAUUCUAUUGAUCAUGUUUUCUGUACAGGUGAAAUCCCUCGCCAAGUUUGGAAAUCGUUUCAGGUUGAUAUUGGCGAGUUUGUCACUCCUUCAACGGUAAAGCAUGCAGUCAUUCAAUGGUGGUUGCUGCCAGCUAAAAACAUUAAGCUUAAACUGGUUUAUCAGCUGCUGCCAUCGCUGAUUUGCUGGCAUCUUUGGAAAGCUAGGAAUACUGCGGUUUGGGAAGGCAAGGUGUUGUCGGUCAUGCAGAUUAAUACUUUUGUUCUUUCUGAUCUCUAUGACAUUUUCCAAUUACAUUUUACAGACAUUGGAGUUGGAAGGUACUCGUGGCCAUGUUUUUACUCUUCACUGGUGAGUUGGCAAAAACCAUUUAAAUUCAUCCUGGUUAGGUGGAUCCCUCCAGUCUUGACGACAUGUAAACUGAAUACCGAUGGUAGUUCUCUUGGUAAUCCGGGAAGGAGUGGCGGUGGGGGGGUUUUGAGAAAUAGCUCGGGGGUUUUUUUGUUGGGUUUUGCGUGUUAUUGGGGUGUCAUACCGAGUUUACAUUCAGAGUUGAAGGCUUUGUUAUUUGGAGUUAAGCUUUGUGUUAUGCGAGGUUUCUUUUGCUUGCAUUUGGAAUCAGAUUCGUCACUUCUUGUCCAAAUGGUUAAGGGGAUUAGUAGAUGUCCAUGGGAUUUGCAACGAGAGCUGGACCAAUUGCUCACUUUUAGGCAUUUCUUUCAAUCCGUCACUCAUUGUUAUCGUCAAGCGAAUUUGCCUGCAGACCGCUUAUCUAAGGUUGGAACUGAGUUAAAGUCCAACAUAGUGUAUGAUUCAUGGUUGGAAUUGCCACGAUUGGUUCGUGGAGACCUCAAGUUGGAUAGGUUAGGUUCUCCUAAUUUUCGGGUUUACUAAUCAUUUGGAUUUCUGGAAUGGGGUCUAGUUCAUCCACACAGAUUCAAGCGUUGUUGCUGUUACUGUUGUUUUGCUAUUGCUGCUGUUAUUUUUUGCUCUCUGGUUGAGCAAUUUCUUUCUUUUUGCACCUCUGUUUGGCAGAUGCUGAUGUAACGUGAUAUUUAUUUAUCAAUAAAAGGUAUAAGGUUUUUUUUAAAAAAAAAAAAAAAAGAUCUUCUUAUGUUUUUUUUCACUUUAUCUUCCUUCAAGAUUUUUGGUGGAAAUGCUUCAUUUAUACGAAUUUUCCUAGUUAGUAAAUGCUUCUAUUACACUUGUACAAUACACAUUUAAAAGUAUAACACAACAAAAGCUUGUGUAGUUCAUAUAUUUAAAAAAUAUUCAUACUUUUCAACUAAACUAUAAAAAUAUGUAAUAAAUUCUUUAUACAUUAUACUUUACGAACUAUACUUUAAAUUUUAAAAAUAUUUAAUAGUAUCACUUAUCAAUAACUCCACAUGUUAAUUUGUCUUCCAAUUCAGUAAAUUAUAGUAGCUAAUUCUCAAAGCUAACCGACACCAAAAUUCCCUCACUUGUUCAGCUCCUAGUGGAUUUAUAUUAAUUACAUUGCAUUUAUUUCCUAAGCAUGAGUUUUGUAACCCCUCAUAUUAAAUCUCAAUGAUUGAUUUUAACGGUUACCCAGGCGUCUAGUAAUUGGUUUGCUAUUAAUUUGAACUAGACAUUUAUUAGGUCUAGUAGAAUUUAUUCCUUCUUAUCACUUAGUUCAUAAACCUUACGAAUCGUUAAAACCAGCUCUAACAUCAGCUAACAAGACUUCUACAAUUUCGGGUUUUGCUUAGAAAUCAGUCUGAUAGGUUAACUUGCUUCGUCCAACUUUAUGAGUUGCUUCUUUUUUCUUUUUUUUUCCAUAUUUGACAUUUCAUCUUACUUUAAUAUGGGGACCAAGUUAGUAUUGUUGACAUUUCAUAUCUAAGACUUCUUAAUUAAUUGAUUUGUUAUAAGAACUAUAACGUAUGCGUGUUUUGUAAGCUUUCAUGUUUUUUUAUUUUUUCAAUUCUUGUGGACCAGCAACGGAUAGUUUCUUCUAGUACCAAUCUUCCUUUGAAGUUCUUUAAUUUUUUUUUUGUGUCCAAAUGUAAAUUAAAAGAACCAACAACUUUGAACAAGUCUAUAUCUAGUAAAGAUAGAUAUAAAGAGGGAUACUAUAUCACUGCAACAAAAAAGGGAUUUGGCGAGGAGCAAAAGUCCACGCCAAAAUUUUUGACUUCGUCGCCAAUUAAUUUCAGCGAGAAAAAUGCUUCCUCGUCAAGUUUCUUGCUAGAUGCUCAUCGCUAAAAGUUAUUAGAGAGGAUGUUGUUGCUUUUCUCGCUAAUGAAACAGAUCAAUAGCAAGGAUUGACCUCCUCGCCAAUCUGAUUCAAAUACUAUGGCGAGAAAAGCUUUCCUCACCACUAAAGUUAAAAACUCCCCACAAAAACCAGUAGUUCCUAGCAAAUAGUCAAGGUGUUCUGCUAGGAAAAAUAGCGCAUCCUUACCAAUAGUAUAGAAUUAGCAAGGAUUCUUUUGACAAAUCUGCAAUGCCUCGUGUACCAGUAAAACAUUUUUGGCCAGGAAAGUUUCCUCUCUAAUAAGCAAUAAUUGAUUAUUGUCUAACUGUUUGGUGGGAAAAUGUUCCUCUCCAAUGCUGUUAUGAACAUUUCUUAAUCCCAUUUAGCAUGCUAAUCUUAAUUCUCUGAGCAAAUUACUGGGUGGUUUUAUUAGAAAAUUUAGCUGCAAAUAGCUUCAAUUUGGCUUCUCAUGUGUCUGUUGUACAUUUUCCAGGUUCUUAUAAGUAUCAAAUUGUUUGGCAAAAUUUUUUUUUAAUGAAUCAUGACCAACGUAGCUGCUCAUUAAAUUUAAACUCAUAAGCCCUAGUAUUUGAUAGCUUUUUGGAAUAUCACUUGGUGCCAACAACCCCCUUUUGCUACUUUGAUAAACAUUCAAUAGAAAACAUACAAAAGCUUUGGUUAGCUAAAAAUAAUUGUUAGCAAAGUAAUACAUCAACAUCCAGCUCUUUCAACAUCUUGAGCCAUACAAAUAGGAAGUGCUUGAAAUCAAUUGGCAAUCCAAAUUUUUUUUAGCUCAUUAACCAUCCAAGAAAUCGCAACUUCAAUAAGUCAUUACAAAAGAAGAUUUCAUCAAGAGAACACCACAAAAAGGAGAAGCAGAAAAAAAAUAUAAGAGAGAGAGAGAGAGAGUUAAACUAGUCAUAUGGACACAUAUUUGUCACCUCAGUAUUUCCAAUUCCUUAAUUCAGUCCAGUUAUCUUGGAACUCUAUCGGCAAUCCAUGGAACAUUUUUUGAAUGACAAUAUGCUGUUGCAACCUUCUGGUGAAGACUUCAAAGGUUCUAUGAUAGGUUGCAUUUUUGUCAUUAAUUCUAUGAUUAUUUUCCUCAUUUAUAUUACCAAAUAUUGUAUUAAUUGAUUGAUUCUACUUAUAUUUGGUAUUUUGUGUCAAUUGUAGGAAGGUGGAGCAAAAAAUAAUAAAAGAGGUGAUUUUUCAAGAGUUUUCCAUUUCAAGAUGGAGUUUACGUGGAGUAUUGGAUGAAAAUUAGGAAACUACCACUUUUUAUUAGAUGUCUUAUUAGGGAACAAUUAGCAAUAGUUGGAGAAGUUUCCUUUUGCAAUUAGAAUUCUAUUUUUAGUUGGCCAAUGGACUGCCGAAAUAAUGGACUUCAAUUAGGAAACAAAGAGAGAAAAAAGGCCGGAAUCCCGCGUGAUUACUACCUUGGAGGGAACAAGAAAAAGGAGACGUCCGCUGGUCUCUUCUUUAGUGAGUCUUUUGGAAAAAACCAAUGGUUAUCGAUGGUGUCCUGCGGAUCUCUCCUGAUGAUGUGUAGCUAAAUCUCCGUUUUCUAGUCGAAUGUCAAUUUGAGGACUCGAUUCCAAACAUAUUUGAUAAGAGAAUAUUUAAUGUACAUUUUGUACAAGUUUGGCAUGAACUUUUGAUGUGUUUUGAGAAGAUUAAAGCCAUAUUUGAACUCUUUUGGUGAUAAAUGCUUAAAUAUUAUGUAAGUGUUCAAAACUUGAUAAAUGAGUGGAUUAAUGCGUUAAUUUUGUGAAAUUGUGAAGGAUAUUGAUAUAUGAAAUUCAUGCACGAGAUGAAGGAAAUGUAAGGAUCGUCUAGAGGAUAAAGUACAAAAGAAACUAGGAGCAAAAAUGAAGAAAAAGGAAAGAAGUGAAAAACUGGAAAUUGAUCAGCACAGAUUUGAGCUCGGAUCCGUGUGAACAAAGGGCGAUCCGAGCCCUCGUCUGCACUUCUGGAGCAGUGCAUCCGAGGCCAGACAAUCUGAGCUCGGAUUAUUAAGAGAAAGACCUCGGAUCAGCCUUGAUCCGAGCUCAGAUCGUAGUGCACACCUCGGAUCCAGGUCUCGGAUCUGCCUCUCUUCUGCAAGUGGCACGGCCGUUUUUUCUCAUUUUCACACAACUUUCCAGCUAUCUUGGGUGAGAGAAUUCGAUGGCACAUGCUUCUGCAACAAAAGGGAAGACAAAAUGAGUUAUUGAUAAGUCAAAACAACAUUUCUUUUGACUUUCUUUACAAAAUCUGAGUUGUUGGAAUCAUGAAGGAGAAGAAAGUGCCUUUCUACCACCUUUUAUGCAGAGAACUAAGGAGAAGUCAGGCAUCACCAUAUGGAGGAGUUUUUCAUCUUGUAACAUUUUUCUCUCUAGCUAGAAGUUCUAAAAACAAGCACUUGGAGAUUUCACUUGUAAUCAUCUUGUACAAGACAUAGCAAAAAUUUGAGGGUUUCACCAUUAAUUGGCUAAGCUUUUCUUUAUCUUUCUUGUACUUGUACUUUAUGAUGUUUUGCAUUAAUAAACUUGUGAGUUUGAUUGUUAUAUUAUUCAUGAGUAGCUAAAUUUCUUUAUCUAGAGAGUAGAUAAAUGAUAUGAAUUGAAUGUGAUUUACACUUGUUAUAUCUUGUAUUAACUUGUCUAUUUGUGCAGUUGUAAUUACUUGUUGUUGUUUGAUCACCAAUAGCAUGUUUAUAGUUGUUAUUAGUCAAUAAGAAUUGGUAGUAACAAUAGAAAAAAUAUGAGUAGAGCUUGAGUUGUAUGUUCAUGAAAAUAGAUGUACACUUAAGUGGAUUAGCUAGCAUUUCAUGAAGGAAAACAGAGUAGAACUGGUAGUUCACCAUGAAAAUAGGGAAAACUGGAUUACUCUAGGCCAUUUUAUCAUGAGAAUGAGAUUUGGCAAUAUUGAAAAUGAAUCCCUGGUUAAACAACAAUAAUAACAAGAGGUAAAUCUAUUCAUUUGUGUUGUUUAUACCAUAAGUGGAAUCUACAUCCCUAGAUUUAUUCUUGAGUGAAAUUUAUCCAUUUGCAUUUAGCAUUUGUUAAACUAGAUUUAUAGACAACAACAUUAUAAUUUCUCUGCUCAAAUUCAUUUAUAAGUCUAAAUAAUAGAGAAAAUAAGGGCCUAGUACUUAUUUAAAUUGCUCCUCGUGGGAUCGACUUGAUACAUACCUUACAUUACGAUUUCGACCUGUAUAGUUGCAGUCAACGGGUAUAAAAUCGAAUUCAAACUUGCAUUGAUAUAAAAAUCCCGUCACAUAUGUGAGAUCGAAUUAUUUUACUUAUUUCUUUUAUUCAUUGGUAUUUGUACAUUUUCUGAUUUAACUUCAUAUACUUGUUAUGUUAUUUGAAUGUCAAGGGCUCGAUAUUCGAAUUAACCUAAUAAUCUACUGUUAGAUUAAUUGAUUGAAUCCCUAAUUGUUCAAUUGAUUAAUACCAGUGGCAACUAGCGUGAUUAGUUUCAUGUUAAGGAAACAUAUGAUCUAACUUAAACGAACCCUCGUAGCGUGUUUGUUAAUUAAGGUUGGCUUUUCUAAUUCUUAUUGCAAUUGAGAAAUUAAAUCCUAUAGUCGUACCUAGGGUUAUUUCUUGGUUAGAAAAAUAGUUAAUGGUCGUACCUUAACUAUCGAAAAAGUAAGAAAAGAUUGGUUGUUUAUCGCGUGUAUAACAACUAUAACCAAUCUAUUAAUUAGUAAUUGAAUUAUCUUUGCAUCGAUGAUCAGUUGAAAGGACCAUGUCUGAAAAGUUGCACCUUUGGCUAGAGUUGUAUUGGUUAUUGAUUAAUUCCUGUUUAUUUCUAUUAGUUGUUUCAUUAGUUGAUUAAUUAGUUAUUUUAUAUUUUUCAAAAACCCCCCAUACUUCGGACUCUGGAAGAAAUGAAUUAUCCCCAAUCCCUGUAGAUUCGACCCUGCUCACCGCUAUAUACAAAUUUGUAUUUUUCUUGAGUAGGUAAUUAUUAUUGCACAUGUUCAACACCUGUCAUUCUAUAACUGUAUACAGAGUCAUCUUUUUCAAAGAUUUCCCAUGCUGCAAAAUGUACUCUACGAGCUUUAUUUCACCCUGUUCCUGAAGAGUUUGCUUGAUCCGAUAUACCCGAAUGGGAUGGUUAUUUCUUUCACAAAUAAUUAUGAAUUUGUAGACAGGGCAAGUAGGGUCGUAUCCACAGGGACUGGGUAUAUUUGUUUCUUAAGAAAUCCAAAAUAACAUAGGGGGGUGAUUUUGUAGGAACGACGACAAUAAAAUAAAUUCAAUUAAGAAAAUAAAAAUAAAUAACUAAUUAGAGAUUAAACAACAAUUCACUGAACUUAGAGUAAUAAUAAUUAAAGGCCUAAAUCAAUUAAAACAAGGAAGCAAUUAAAAAUAAAAUAAAGUAGGCAACUAAAAGUCAAAUGGCAAUUCACUGAAAUCAAGAUAAUAUUAAUUAAAGAUCUAUCCAAGAAAUAAUUUCAGCAAUGGUGCACCUAAUUGAUCAUUGAAGCAAAGGCAAUUCCAAUUAUUUAUCAAUAAAUAGGUUAUAACUACCAAACAAGCGAUGGCAGUCAACCCCUCCUUAUUGUGUCGGUGAUCAAGGUACGCCCGUUAACCACUAGUCUAAUUGAGAAAUAACCUUAGGUACGCCCGUAAGAUUUAAUUCCCCAAUUGCCUUACGUAUUAGAGGAGCCCUAUUCUAACCAAAUAACACACUACCAGAGUUAUUUCAGAUUAGCCCGCGUAUCCCCCUGACAUGAAUCUAAUCGUGCCAGUUGUCACUAUUUUAGGACAAUUAAACAAUUACGGAUUUAAUGCCCUAAUUGACAAAUGAGUACCAAAUCAAUUAAUUAUCUGGAUCCAAGACAAUCAAUUAAUUAAAUAACCAUAGGCAUAGUAAUUCAGGAAUAUACGAAUACCAAUAAAUAAAAGGGAAAGACUAAAAUUAAAUCGAUCUCACAAUUUUAGGCAAACCAAAGCCUCCGUUGUCCCUCGGUUAGAUUGAGAAAAUUAGCUCAUGUUCGAUGCGAAAAACCCACAAGAAAUUGUAAAGAGAGCCGCGGCCAUUGUCCCUUGAAAUUGGGGAAAUUCAAUUCGGUUCCAAUCAAGAAGGGAGGCAAGCUACAGAAAGUUAUCAAUUCAGUUUUGCUUGUCUCCCACAUACGAAGGGAAAAACUACUCUAAGAACCAGGGAAGAAAAGUCAAAAGUAAAGCUAUCCCCCUUUUCUCCUGACAUGCGCAGGAGAAGUCCUAAUCAAAAGCUUCAAAAGGAAGAAAAAAAUCUCAUGCUAAGCUAAAGCUAUCCGCCCCCUUCUUCUGUGCAGUUUUUUUCUUAUAUAGUCAGGCUCCGUGCGGCGGCUCCAGGGAGAAGAACGCUUUUGCCAAAAUGACCAAAAAGGCUCAUGUCCCUUCUUCCAAAAAUGCCCUUGCAAGCCUUCUAUUUAAUUUCUUUCCCGAUGACUGUCAAAGUGGCAUUGAUUGUGGUAUUUUUGAUCUACUCUCUGAAAUAAAUGCAAAUUAAGAAAAAUGAAUAGAAUCCAGCAAUUAAUCCACAUCAAGUCAGGUAAUAGGGGAAAUUAAUAAUAAAAUAAAUGAUAAAAUUGCAACCUAUCAUUAAGUAACAUUAGGAUGAUUGCUAUUUAAUUAAAAUUGUCCCACGGUUUAAUUUUGGUGAAGAACUUUUGCUUCUUUUGUUUCUAAAUCAUCAACACUGUGAUCCGUAAGUGGUAACCUUGGGGCUCAUAGAGAGAUGUUCUGCUAGUUCAAAUGGUUACUCUUUAACUCUUCUGUAUUGUCCAAACACUCAUUAAAUUCUAACAGCCAUUCCUUUUCAUUGUAAUGAUUGAUAUGAUUUUGCAACCUGGCAAGCUCUUUUUGAAGCUCAUGCUUUGUUAUAUCCUCAUGCAACAUUUUAGCUUUCACCUCAAAUUCUAUAGUAUUAGGCCUGAGAAUCCACACGUUCCACAACAUGUUAAGAGGAACAUCUUUGUCUGUUAUUUCAAAGUUGUGUGUGAAUUUUAAUAAUUAUGUUUGUGUCAAUAACUUGAUUAACCUAGAAGGAUUUUUUUUCAUGUUGGGUCAACUUGAUCUUCACAAAACUCCCUAUUAAUUAACCCUCAAACUUCUCAGGGGCCUUUGCAAGAUCCUCAACUAGAGUUCUUCUUAAAUAAAUAAGAUUAAUGUUUUCUUGAAUGAAUAUAGAAGAAUGACUUCUAGGAGUUCUUAAACCUGUAGUCUUUUGGUGUUAUUCCAUGCAUAGCAUCCUCAUCAAGUAAUUGUCAGUAUAUAGGCUUUUAGUUUUGUUAGGUGUUUGAAUGUUUCGUGCAUAAACUGUGCCAUUUAACUAGCUAAUAUAAUAAUGAAUAGCAAUUUACGAUUUUUAAAUUAACUUUAACUCUAUAAUUUGUUGCAAAAAUAUAUAUUACUCUAGAGUGAAAGUGUUGGGAAAGGGGUACCAGUAUAGGUACAAAAUAUCAGAGUUAGCCCAAGAUAAAUUUCUCUUUCCCCAAAUACCAGUUAAAAUAGGAAUAAACCAAAUCACCAAAUAAUAAUACCAGUAGUGAUAAUAAAAUGAAAGGAAAAAUAAAAGGCACAGGACACCAAGAUUUUUACGUGGAAAACCCAAUUGGGAAAAAUCACGAGACCUAAUCCAGUCAAAAACUUCACUAUCACAAUAAUGGGAAUACACAGGUCUAUCCGAAAUAUUCGGAUGAUAAUAAUAUCACCAAUACCAACCAAGCCAAUCUACUAUAAAAUCACCCCCAAAAACUACAACUGUCAAAGAAGUGAAUUUGGAAAGAUGUUACCAAACGAAGAGGAAAUCUAAAAUCUGAACCGAUACAUGAGUAGAGCUUGUCGAGAGGAUCACGUGUUUAAAAUUUCGUCUCAAUCGGGUUUCGAAUCGCCCUCCAAUCAAGACCUUGAAGUCUCUCUCUCUCUAGCCUUUCUCUCUCUUCGUCUCACUCAAGGAGGUGGCGACUGACCUUUUUUCUUCACACGAAAAUCGAAGAAAAGGAAUCAUUUCUUGCGGCUGCUGCUGCCUUUUUUUUUAUAUCACUUGAGAAACCCUCAAGUGUUAGUUAUGUGGGUUGGCCCACAAAUGGGCUGGCCCACGACAUCAACAAUCUCCCCCUCCAGCUCAUUUGGGGGGCUCCAUCAAGCCUGCUUCUUGUUUGCAAAACAAGAGUUUCUCCUUAGGCAAUGCUUUGGUAAACAUGUCAGCACCAUUAUCAUCUGUAUGCACUUUCUCAAGUGUCAACAACUUGGAAUCCAGUACUUCCCGAAUCCAAUGAUAUCUCACAUCAAUAUGUUUGGAUCGAGAGUGAAAUGUGAAGUUCUUACACAAAUGAAUAGCGCUCUGACUGUCACAGUAAAGACUAUACUUGUCUUGUUUCAUACCCAACUCCUGAAGGAAUUUCUACAACCAAAGAGUCUCCUUACAUGCUUCAGUAGUUGCAAUAUACUCUGCCUCCGUAUUAGAAAGAGCGAUACACUUCUGUAGCUUACUUUGCCAAGACACUGCUCCCCCUGCAAAAAUCAUUAAGUACCCAGAUGUGGACUUCCUAUUUUCAAGAUCACCUGCCAUAUCUGCAUCAGUGUAUCCAUCUAGCAUAGUUUUACCAUUGCCGAAACAUAGACACAAUCUAGGAGUUCCCUUGAGAUACCUAAGAAUCCAUUUGACAGCAUUCCAAUGCUCCUUACCAGGAUUAGAGAGAUACCGACUGACUAUUUCAACUGCAUGAGCAAUAUCUGGUCUGGUGCAAACCAUAGCAUACAUCAAGCUACCAACGGCCGAAGCAUAAGGAACCUUUUUCAUGUCUUCUUUAUCUUUCUCACUUGUAGGACACUGCUUGAUAUUCAGUUUAAAGUGACCUGCAAGUGGAGUUGAGACUUCCUUAGCAUUGCUCAUGUUAAACCUGUUGAGCACUUUCUCAAUGUAUUUUUCUUGAGACAACCAAAGCUUCCCAUUUUGCCUGUCUCGUGAGAUUUUCAUCCCCAAUAUCUGUCUAGCCGGACCCAAAUCUUUCAUUGCAAAGGAUUUACUUAACUCCUUUUUCAACCUGUCAAUCUUCACAGUAUCAAGACCAACAAUCAACAUGUCAUCAACAUAUAAUAAGAGAAUAACAAAAUCACCAUCUGAAAGGUUUUUCACAUAAACACAGUGAUCAGAUGUAGUCCUGUGGUACCCAUGGUCUGUCAUGAAGGAAUCAAACUUCUUAUACCAUUGUUUCGGUGCCUGUUUCAACCCAUACAAGCUCUUCUUGAGACGGCAUACAAGAUUUUUCUUGCCACUUUCUCUGAACCCCUCCAGUUACUCCAUGUAGAUCUCCUCUUCCAAGUCGCCAUGCAGGAAGGCUGUCUUCACAUCAAGUUGCUCGAUCUCCAAAUUCAAACUGGCUGCAAUACCAAGAACAACUCGAAUUGAGGACAUUUUUACCACAGGAGAGAAGAUUUCUUCAAAAUCUAUACCUUUCUUUUGACUGAAUCCCUUCACAACCAAUCUUGCUUUAUACUUUGGUUGUGAGGUGUGCUCCUGAGUUUUCAACCUGUAAACCCAUUUGUUCUUUAGAGCUCUCUUACCCUUAGAUAGUUUCACUAAAUCAUAAGUAUGAUUCUUAUGCAGGGACACCAUUUCCUCUUGCAUGACUCGCAACCAAUCUUCUUUGUUCUCAUGCUCUAAAGCCUCACAAUAUGACUCAGGCUCUCCUCCAUCUGUUAACAACAAAUAUUCAUGAGGAUUAUACCUGCUAGAAGGUCUCCUCUCUCUGGUAGAUCUCCUAAGCUCAUCUUGUGGUGGCGGUGGUGGUGUAGGUGGCUCCUCAUGUUCAGAUUCAUCAGCAGUAGGAUUAUUACCAUCAUUAAUAUCCUCUCUCUGCUCCGCCUCAGCUCCCCCUUGAUUAAAAUCAACAGGUACUGAAAUUGGAUCUGGAUCUGAAUUUGAGCUAGCAGGAAUGUCAUCUGAGAAUUUUGAGUUGUCACUUUUAUCAAUGUUUUCAAUGGUUUGAUCUUCAAAGAAGACAACAUCUCUACUCCUGAUCACUUUCUUCUCAAUAGGAUCAUACAACCUAUAACUAAAAUCUUCAAUUCCAUAAUCCAAGAAAAUGCAUUGCUUUGAUUUUACAUCAAGUUUUGACCUCUCAUCCUUGGGAAUAUGAACAAAUGCCCGGCAACUGAAAACUCUCAAAUGCUUAAAUGACACAUCUUUUCCUGUCCAUACCCUCUCUGGGAUAUCACCAUCCAGAGGGACUGAUGGAGAAAGAUUUAUCAAAUCAAUUGCAGUCCUCAUUGUCUCACCCCAAAAGGGUUUUGGCAAUUUAGCAUUAGAGAGCAUACAUCUAACCCGCUCAGUGAUGGAUCUGUUCAUCCUCUCUGCUACUCCAUUCUCUUGAGGAGUUUUCGGUACAGUUUUCUCCAAUCUGAUUCCAUGGGACUUGCAAUAGAUUUCAAAUGGUUCUCUGUACUCACCACCAUUAUCAGCACGUACACACUUUAACUGCUUACCAGUUUCUCUUUCAACUUUGCUAUGAAAGUCUUUAAACACAUCCAAAACCUGAUCUUUGGAUUUCAAAGUAAAACACCAAACCUUUCUAACAAAGUCAUCAAUAAAAGUAACAAAAUAAAUAGCACCACCAAGAGACUUAUCUUUCGUAUAGCAAACAUCAGUGUGCACCAAUUCUAAAACAUUUAAUUUCCUAGAUGGAGGAAAAUUUUUGAAUGCAACUCUGUGUUGUUUUCUAUAAAUGCAGUCAACACAAGGUUUAAGUGCAUUACCUCUAAUUUCAGGUAGGAGCUGUUUGCGAACAAGUGUCUGAAUCCCCUUUUCACCCAUGUGUCCAAGUCGCCUAUGCCAAAGGUCAAUUGAGGAAUCACGAACUGCGUUCACUUCUCCCUUCCUCAACUUGGCAUGCAUCACGUAGAGGGUACUGUACUUCUUUUCUCUGGCAACAACGAGAUUUCCUUUGCUGAGUUUCCGUUUGCCUCCACCUUGCGAGCUAUAGUAGCCCUUAUCGUCCAGUUUUCCUAUAGAAAUAAAGUUAAGUCGAAUAUCAGGAACAUGUCGAAUAUUUCUCAAUAUCAGCUGACACCCGGUAUCUGUGUCCAAGUAUAUGUCUCCCAUGCCAACAACUUUGCAUGAGAUCUCAUUUCCCAUCCCAACACAUCCGAAAUCUCCUUCGUUUUAGGUUGAGAAGAAAUGCCUGUGAGAAGUAACAAGGUAGGAUGCACCUGAAUCAACUACCCAAUCACUGUCAUAGUGAAUAAUAUUCACCUAACCAUCAUCACAGAACACAAACAUGUCAUCAUGAGCUGCCACAACUGCUGUAGUAUCCUCAUUAUCUUUUUCCUUCGCCUUACCCUUUUUCUCAGCCUGAUCCCGUUUUAGGAUUCUACACUCCUUCAUAUAAUGUCCAUUCUUUUUACAAUAAUAGCAUGCAACAUUUUUUCGCGACUCAGAUCUGUCUCUGGAUUUGUCAUUCCUGUUGUGGGGUUCUCUACUUUUGUUUCUUCCUCUUCUUUCUUUCUUUUCUGUCACCAGGGCCUGGGACUCAUAGACAAUUCCUUGUUCCUUCCUCCUGAAGUCUUCAUUCAUCACGGCCUCUUUUGCAAUAGUCAUGGUCAACACACCAUUCGGAGCUGAAUUACUGAUGGAGACCACCAUGGUUUCCCAACUAUCCGGUAUUGAACUGAAUAAUAAUAAAGCCUGCAUUUCAUCAUCCAGAUUCAAAUUUAAUGUAGUUGCCUGGUUUAUCAAUCCCUGAAAGUUACUCAAGUGUUCAGUCAUAUCUUCCCCAUUCUUAUAUCUCAUUCGAGUAAUCUGCUUCAGACAACUAGUCUUUCUUUCAUACAUACUCUCAAGCCUUUUCCAUAAUAUAUCAGCUCUGGUGUCAUUAGCAAAAUGUUGAAAAAUACUUUGACCAAUCCAUUUUCUAAUAUUACCAACAGUUUUCCUGUACAUAUUAGCCCAUUUUUCAUCACUCAUAUCACUUGGUUUACAUUUAUCCCCUAGAACAAGUUCAAACAAAUCUCUACAAUACAGGUAGUCUUCCAUUCUAGGCUUCCAAAUCAAAUAGUUAGUAGCGUUCAAUUUUAUUAUGCAACCACUAUCCGAAUCAUCCAUUUUUUAACAGGUACAAUUGAGCAGUCCAACCUGACUGCUCUGAUACCACUUGUUGGGAAAGGGGUACCAGUAUAGGUACAAAAUAUCAGAGUUAGCCCAAGAUAAAUUUCUCUUUCCCCAAGUACCAGUUAAAAUAGGAAUAAACUAAAUCACCAAAUAAUAAUACCAGCAGUGAUAAUAAAAUGCAAGGAAAAAUAAAAGGCACAGGACACCAAGAUUUUUACGUGAAAAAUCCAAUUGGAAAAAAUCACGGGACCUAGUCCAGUCAAAAACUCCACUAUCACAAUAAUGGGAAUACACAGGUCUACCCGAAAUAUUCGGAUAAUAAUAAUAUCACCAAUACCAACCAAGCCAAUCUGCUAUAAAAUCACCCCCAAAAACUACAACUGUCAAAGAAGUGAGUUUGGAAAGGUGUUACCAAACGAAGAGAAAAUCUGAAAUCUGAACCGAUAGAUGAGUAGACCUUGUCGAGAAGAUCACGUGUGUAAAAUUUCGUCUCAAUCGGGUUUUGAAUCGCCCUCCAAUCAAGACCUUGAAGUCUCUCUCUCUCUAGCCUUUCUCUCUCUUCGUCUCACUCAAGGAGGUGGCGGCUGACCUUUUUUCUUCACACGAAGACUGAAGAAAAGGAAUCACUUCUUGCGGCUGCUGCUGCCUUUUUUUUCAUAUCACUUGAGAAACCCUCAAGUGUUAUUUAUUUGGGUUGGCCCACAAAUGGGCUGGCCCACGGCAUCAACAGAAAGUAUGUUAAAAUUGGAAAAAAAAUUGAUAAACAUAUUCAUAUUAAUGGUUUUUGGAAAUUUACCUCCUCAAUUAUCUAUAAAUAUGAAAAUUGUUGUUUAAUGUCUGUAAUCUAUCAUAUCUUUAUCUAAUAUUCGUAUAUUUGAUUGAAAUUUAUUCAAUCACGUAUACCAUCAAUCUAGUGGCAUUUAAAACAAGAAAGUGUAUAACUACUCAAACAGUACGGUGUUAUUUGAUAUAGUAUCCAAAAAAUGCAUCUAUUUCAUAAAUUUAAUUUUUCAACAAUAUUAAAUAGUUCUCCUAUUUGAGUUUCGCUAUAUGAGUUGUAUUAGCACUUCUCAUAUCAAGUGCUAUGCUUGUUCAUGUUUUGAAUUUGUAGGUCAUAACGCAUAAGCAUCAGCUCGUCUGGCCUCUCUUGCUGUACAGGAUUCCAUUCUUUAGUAAGGAUAUUUCCAUCAGUGCUCCUCUUCAAGUCAUAUUUUGUAGCACCAUUAUAUGUCUGACUAAGAAUUUGAAUGGAAAAUUGUUGGACGCCAGAGUGCAAUUGGUCAGUCACAGGCAAGGCCUACCUUUUCUCCGAGUUGCAAAGGUGAUUAGAGCACCAUCCAUUUUUAAAUAUCAGUUUCUGCUUUGUCCACCGAGUCAACUGAUACGAAUUCUAGGUAUUCUUGUAAACUUUUGUCUUUUUGCUGGUGAACGGAUUUGCUUUAUUAUAUUUCUACAAUCUGCUUGUCCUUGAAAUUUUACCUGUUGAUCUUUUCCCUUGCACUUUUAUCCACUAUUAUGCUACAUGUAAUUCAAUGGUUGAAAAUUAUAGAGUAUGCUUCAACCUUACUAGUGUUUUGAUAUUUGCAACAAACUAAUGAAUGAUUGAUGCAUGGUAGUUGGAGUUAAAAAAGGAACGCUUGCCAUCUCUUCGGUGUCUAAUUUUGGUGCUUUGUUAUUUGGCCAACCAUUUGCUAACAGACAAAACUUGGUAUAGAGACAAUUCAAAUUCUUGGAAUUUUGACACCUCUUUAUUCGACAGACAGUUAAGGUGAUUAUAAUUCUUAUAUGUUUGCUAUUAUUGAAAGAAUGAGCUACAUUUUCCAGUAUCCAGUGGUUUCAUUGAUGGUACGAGAUGUUUUGAGUAUUCCUGUUACUACUGGCUUUAGAGUCUACUUUCAGCAUUGAUGGUCAGAUUAUCAACAAAUACUGAAGUACCAUCUUGAGAUCUUCAUGUGGUCUUCAAAACAGUUGAAAGAAACAUUUUCUACAAGUUCUCUUGUUUAAAGACCAAAUUCUGUAGAAUUAAGAAAAGGAUUUGUGAACUUGAACUUGAACUUGGGCAGUCUAACCAGGUAAUUGAUGGACAAAACUGUGUAAUCUCUAAGAAGUUUCAGAAUAAUCAGAUGGCAUGCAUAAUUCUUGUGGCAGUUUUUGCUUGAUACGGUGUCUCUUUAAUUACUUCCAUUGUUUCCUAUUUCUCUAACAUAUGUACAUUGAUAAGUUUGUUAAAUGCAACCAUUGGGAUUGACCCAAUAGUCAGGGGAAAACUCUUGAAGUUUUCUUUGUUACAAGAUUCAGAAUUCGAACUUUUUGCCUGGUAGUUGAGGUUAGGAAGGGUAUGGGGAAAGAUGGGAAGGGAAAAAAAAGAUAAGUAUGUUAAAUGCACUUAUAUAAUAAAUAUAAGUAUGUUGAUGGUGCAUUUAUAAUCUACUAAAAAGGCACAUAUUCUACUAGAAAAAGCACGUGCGCUACACUUGAUUUUGCUAAACAAAAUAAAAGUAUGUGCUAAGCAUAUAUGAUAUAAGGAUUGAUCUUAUUUAUGGAGAUUUCGUAAAUAUUCUAUUUCAGAAGUAAAAAAUUAAACACAAUCGGAAUUUUCUUUUUUCUUUUUCAAAAUUAGAUGUAGUUAUUAAUUCAGAUCUGGCAUGUACACAAUGAAAACUAAAGGAUGGUAAAACCUGAUAUUGAUGACUUACACACGUUUAUAUCUCUGCUCCUAUUUCUUGAAAUGCUUAGCUGUACAAAUUGUGGGAGUUUCAACAUGUCAAGCUGAUGUUUAAGAGACUAGUAUGUAGAAAUUGUUAGUUGCUCAAAUUUGUAUUUGAUACUACAGUUAUUCAAAGUUAUUAAUUGUAAUGUGCCUUUUCGUGAUCCCCCUAAGUUCCCACAUCAAUUUGUGGCCAACCGUUAGAUUUGGGGCAUUAUGCUUCCACAUUGGGUGAGUUUGGACCGGUGGUGCUAUGGUUCAAAAUAUGCAAGGGAAUACAAGAGCUAAGUGUUUUAAUCCCACGUCAAAUGGGAAGAAAUGAAAAGGAUUGGAAAAUAAGCUCAAGGUAUAUGGGGUAAUAAUAAAUUGGUUAAUGACCUUUUUGCUGAGGUUUCUGUCCAGAAAGUCAUUGGGUUGGUGCUUAGACAUAGAGCAUUACACUUUUCUUCCUACCAAUGCCUCAAAUCUAAAUUAAAUUUGUGUCUAAGAAGAUUUUGGAAAAAGUUCUGACUCAGAACAUUUAUUUUCAUGAUGAACUAUAUUGCACAUUAGUAGAAGAAGAUUUUGGAAAAGUUUCUGACUGAGAGCAUCUAUUCCCAUGACAGACUCUGUUAAUUUAGUGUCAGAAAUGAUGUGGUAAUCCAAAUCCGGCAUAUAUAUAGGCUAAUUUUUGCUAGGCAUCUACUAAAGUGAUUUGAUGAUUUUGAUAGAUCCCUGCCGACUAUUCAUUUUAAAAAAGGCUAGGUUAGUGAACUCAUCUAUUUUCCAUUUUAAGGGCCUCCUUAAGUAGUCUUCUUUAGUGCAAUACUUAUCCAGAAGUGCAUGAAAUUCAAUACUUAUUAUGCAAUCUGUGUUAUUAUUUUAAGUCUGUUGUAAAUUUUUGUUUUAAAGAUCAUAAAUGUUUGGUGCAUGAAUAAUAUAUUGAUUUGGCAAUAUUUAGAUUUUCGAAGUUGGCAUUUCACUUUAAAAUGUUUUGGAGAAUUCUUGUUGCAUUGCUUGAAAAACUUUGCUAUAAAAAAGAUUGUUUUGUGUCUAUUGAUCACUCCAAGGAUUGUAAAGUAUGCCUCCUUGAACUUAUGUUAUGAAUCUCAAGGACUGAAGUGGAAAGAAACUUUUAGUUCAGGGGGGAAAUUGUAAUUCAAUUGCUUUUUGACUAAUAAGAGUAGAAUUGGUUGGGCAGGAAAAGUAGCUAGCAAGGAAUAACCAACAUUGCUGACGUGGCCAGUUUGUUAGAAAGUAUUUACGGGAAUCAACUUGCUGUAUGUACUAGAUGGCCAACAGAAGAAUGUAGGCAAUGAGUUGUACCAUUUUCUUUUUCUUGGAUCUGAAUAAACUCUCUUUCUCUCUCUUCUUCUUACUGUCUCAUUUCCUUCCUUCUCUUUUCUUCCGGCUCAAGACAUAAAACUAUUCUUGGGAGACGAGAAUUUUUUAGGAGCACUGGUGACUAGUCUUGUGGGGAGAAAAACAACGAGCCUGUCCUCUUUGUCUUUUUUUUUUCUUUCGUUUUCUAUUUUACUGGAUGCUUAUGCAAUUUACUUCAAUUAAAUUGUGUUGCUUGAUCCCGAUGAUGUGCAACUAAAUUUUCCAUUUCUAGCCAAGGAAUAACGUGGAUUUGGGUCAUCAACAAUUGUGAGAUCUAACUAUUUUUAUUUUUUUCUUUUAUUCGUUAGCAUUCGUAUAUUUUCUGGUUUAAUUACUCAUGGGUGUUAGUUGUUUGAAUAUCAAAAGCAUAUAUUUAAAUCAAGCUAACGAACUAUUGCCAGUUAAGACAGUUUGGCAGUUAGGAAUUAAUCAAAGAGAUGGCUGAGAACUCCCAACAGUUUGGCACAAGAGAGGACGUUUCAAGUUAUCGUGUGAAUGAGGUGAGCAUUUCAUCGAUGCAAGAGCAAUUGGUUGAGUUAAUUUCUAUGUUUCGCCAAAUAGCAAUGGGGAAGGUGCAACAAGUCAAGAAAUGUGAAAUUUGCAAGGAUGUAAACCAUCCCACCGAUGAAUGCCUAAUGCUACAAGAUGAUAACACAAAACAAGUAAACAUGGGUAGGUACGUACCCGUGCCCUGUAGGCAGUAUAACCCUUACUCCAACACAUAUAAUCCGGGUUGGAGGGACCACCCAAACUUUAAUUAUGGGGGAAAUAAGCAAAAUUUGGUCCCCAAUAGACAGCAAGGGUUUCAGCCACGACAAUCAUCAAGACCCCAACCCUCUUCAUCUCAUUUGAACACGUCUCUUGAAGAUAUAGUCAAGACGUUGGUCGCUAAUACCUUGCAAUUUCAAUAGAAGACAGAGGCAAGCAUACAAGAUCUCAAAACUUAGAUAAGUCAGAUGGCCUUUUCGAUGAACCGUCUGGAGUUUCAAGGGCAAAGAAGACUACCUUCUCAACUUGAGGUGAAUCUAAAGAACAUAAAUGUCAUGACCCUCAAAAGUGGAAAUGAAGUUGAAGGGCCAAAACCUAUAGUUCCUAAGGACAAGAGCAAAGAUCAAAUUGAAAAGGAGUUGAAAGAAGAAGGAAUAAGCAAGCUAACUCCUGAGGUAAUUUCAACCUCUUUAUUUAAAACUAAUACUAACCUACCACCUUUCUCUAGUAGGUUGGAGAAGCCAAAAAUGCAGGAUAAGAAGAAGGAGAUCUUAUAGGUGUUCAAGAAGGAGAAGAUAAACAUCCCUCUAUUGGAUGCAAUUAAGCAAGUGCCCAAAUAUGCCAAAUUUCUAAAGGAUUUAUACGUCGAUUGAAAGAAAUUGAGAGGCGAUGAAAGAAUUGUGAUGAGGGAGAAUGUUUUAGCUGUGUUACAAAAGAAACUUCCACCCAAAUGUGAAGACUCAAGUAUGUUUUAUAUCCCUCAUCGUAUUGAAAAUACUAAGACCAGAAAGACUAUACUAGAUCUAGGAGUUUCCAUUAAUGUGAUGCCGAAAAAUAUCUAUACCUCCUUAAACCUAGGACCUUUAAAGGAAACAGGCAUUAUAAUUCAGCUAGCCGAUCGGACUAAUGCAUAUCCUGAUGGAUUAGUUGAAGAUUUUUCAGUUCAGAUUAAUGAAUUAGUAUUUUCAACUAACUUUCAUUUGCUUUACAUGAAUGAUAAGCGUUCACUAAAUUCAUCACCUGUUAUACUAGGGAGACCCUUUUUGAGUAUAGUCGAAACAGAAAUAAAUGUCAAACAGGGCACACUUACAAUGAAAUUUGAUGGGGAGGUGAUCCAUUUCAGUAUAUUUAAAACCACGAAAUACCUAUCUGACUCCCAUACUAUUUUUGCCAUGAGUGUAAUUGACCCUGUGGUAUAGAAAAUUUUUGAGAUUGAUGACAGGGAUGAACUAGAAGUUGUUCUCACCAAAUAUCUUGAGUUGGGGACAACCUAUGAUGUGGCGUUGAGUGAGGAGUUGAAAUGCAUAGUUAGAGCACUACAGUCAAUGGCACCUACUAUAAUAAGGUAUGAACUUGCACUACUCUUUAUACCCGAUUCUAAUCAAAGGUUGCUACCUUCAGUGAUGCAAGCACCUGAAGUGGAAUUGAAAACCCUGCUGGGUCAUUUGAAGUAUACAUUCUUGGGUGAUAAAAAUAUUUUUCCAAUUAUCAUUUCUGCCACCUAAUCAAGAGGACAGGUUGAUCCGAAUCCUUAGGAACCACAAAGAGGUGAUAGGAUGGAUAAUAACUGACAUUAAAGGCAUAAGUCCCUCUGUGUGCAUGCAUAGAAUAUGGCAUAAAGAAGGUGCAAAGCCUGUAAGACAAGCACAUAGACGGCUAAAUUCCCUAAUGAUGGAAGUGGUAAAAAAGAAAAUACUCAAGUUUCUAGAUGUGGGGAUGAUUUAUGCCAUCUUUGAUAGCCUAUGGGUGAACCCAGUGUAAAUGGUUUCAAAGGAGGCAGGAGUCACAAUUGAAGUCAAUCAUGAUGGGGAGCUUGUUCUUGCUCACAAAUCAACGAGAUGGCGCCAGUGCGUCGAUUAUCGGAAACUAAAUGCAAUCACAAAAAAGGAUCAUUAUUCUCUUUCUUUCAUUGAUCAAAUCAUUGAAAAAUUAACUUAUCGUGGUUAAUACUGUUCUCUUGAUGAUUUUUUAGGGUAUUUUCAAAUUGGAAUAGUACUGGAGGACUAGGAGAAAACUCCUUUCACAUGCCCAUUCAAUACCUUCGUAUAUAGAAGAAUGCCCUUUGAAUUGUGUAAAACUCCCGCAACCUUUUAGAAGUGUAUGGUAAGUAUUUUCUCCGAAUAUGUUGAGAAAAUAAUAGAGGUCUUUAUGGAUGAUUCCGUGUCUAUGGUGAUUGAUAAGUGCAUAUUUUACGUGUUUUAAGUGUGUUUUAUUAGUUAGUUUUGGUGUGUUUUAUUAGUUAGUUUUGGUGUGUUUUAUUUAGUUUUAUAACUAAUUAACUAAGUUACUAGUGAAAAUAUGCAUUUUGUGGUUUAAAGUGUGAAAGUUGCAUUUCUGUGGAUUUUAAUGGUAAAAACUUCAUGUUUUUAUAGAUUUAAUGAUUCAAUCAUCAAAUACCAUGAAUUGAGAAGAUAAUUGGAUGAUUGAUGAUGGUUUGAAAUGAUAAAAAAGAGAAUAUAAAACGCAAGAGAUGAAAUGCAAUUAAAGGAAGUUUUCUAGCUUUGACACCUUGUGGUAUUUCGGGUAUAUCUUAAGUCACAAACAUUGGAUUGAGGUGAUUCUUGAACCAUUUUGAAGAUAACCAAUAGAUCUAUAUUUAAUAUGAGACAUCGAAGUCCAGUUCAAUUGUUUUCAUUGUCAAAAAAUUGAAAUAUAGAACUGCAUUUUCAUGAUCGAAAGGUGAAACAGAACUCUGACCAGUUAAGGGUAUUUUAGUUAUUUUUCGGUCCACAGAGCUCCAAAUUGGAUGAUUAUUGAGGCAUUGGAAAGCUAACUCAAAAGAUACAACUUUCAUGUUUUCCAUAAGAGCUAAUUUAGCCUCCAUCAUUGAGAAAAUAUCAGUUGAAAUUGGACAAAAAAUAGAGUCAAGAUGAAUUCUACCCAGAAAGUGCAAACCUGCAAAAGUAAUAACGCGUAGACAAUUCACAACCUAAGGUCGCUCCAAUUUCGGCUGCAACUUGCUCUUCAACUUGUGUUAUGUUCAAGCAAGCUUUUUGACCUAUUUUCUUGCAAGAAUUUUGGUGGAAAGUGACCAAGAUAGCUGCCAAAGAAGCUUUACAACUCAAAUCUAGCUUGUUUAUGGUCUUAAGAGGAAUCUUAACAUGAUUUAACACUUUGUCUUUUGCAUGGAAUUCCUCUAUAAAUAGCAAUCUUUGGAGACUAUUUUCACAACUUUGGAAGGCUAGAAAAAUUUCACAAAAAUGUAGUUUUCACUAGAGUUUUCUUAGUUCAUUAGUUAGGGUAGUAUAGUAUAGUUAGAAUAGUUUAUCUUUCUUGUAUUUAUAGUUUGAUUUGGAUGAAAAUUUGAAAAGCAAAGAUGGAGAGAUAGAACUCAUGUGACAGGAGUGAUUUCUCUCCUUUCCCUUUCUCUUUUGUAUUUAAGUUCAUGUUUAACUAUAAUACAAGUUUGGAUCUUGUUUUCAUGUUUUGCUAAAGUUUAUGCCUAGAGUUAUGGAUGAACUUUCUAUAUCUUGUUAGUGAUAUUUACUUGGUUAUUUGAUGAUAUUAUUUUGAACAAGUUAUUUAUCACUUUUGCUUAUUUAAUCAUGAUUAACCAGCCAUUAAUUGUGAUAAUCUUAAGGUGUUAAGUUUGCAAUGAGAAUUGAAUUUAACACUAGUUCAAGGAAGUGAUAAACCUAGGGAGUACACUCACGAGAGUAGAGGUGCACUUUUGUGGCUUUAGUGACUUGUUUCAUGUCAUUUCAUAGAAGAAAUAAACUUGUAGUUAAUUUCAUAAAUACGAGAGUAGGUACGGUUUAGCUAUAAGUAUAGUUGAUUCACCACGAGAGUAGGUUUCACAUACAUUAAGAAAUUACGCCAUAACUAGCCAAGAUAAUAGCAUUCACUUAACCGGUAACUUCAUUUGCAAGAAUAGUAAGGAAUUCCAUACCUCUAGGAGUUUCCUAUUGUAUUUUUGUUACUUUUAUAGUGUAGAUUUAAUUUAUUGCACUAGUGAUAGUCUAAAUAAUAAAGGAGUUCGAAAAACAUCGGUAAUUGAUAAUUUUCUCUGUGGGAUCGACACCUAAUACCCCUAUACUCAAUAAACAACUCGUAUACUUGCAAAAAAUCAUGUGUGGGGUAUUUAGGAUUUAUAAAUGUAAAAUUUGAUUGUGGAAUGAACUAAUUGUUAUGUGUAUACCCCGCGCUCGUCAGUGAUAGAUUUGAUGAGUGACUUAAGAAUUUGACUCUAAUUGUUCAAAGAUGCAUCAAAACUAAUCUUGUAUUCAAUUAAAAAAAAUGUCAUUCUAUGGUUGAGUACGGAAUAGUUCUAGGUCAUGUCGUAUCAUCUAAGGGUAUUGAAGUUGAUAAUGCAAAAAUAGACCUUAUAUCUUCCUUACCGUACCCCACUAAUCUGCGAAAAGUAUGUUCCUUUUUGGGACAUGUAGGUUUUUAUUGGAGAUUCAUCAAGGACUUCUAAAAACUUGGAACACCAUUGUUUAGACUCUUGCAAAAGGACGUAACAUUUAAUUUUGAUGAGAAAUGCAAGAAGGCGUUUGAUUGUUUAAAGGAGUUGUUGAUUUCCCCACAUAUCAUCAUAUAACAUCCAGACUGAAAUCUCCCAUUCGAGAUCAUGUAUAAUGCAAGUGACAGUGCAAUAGGGGCGUUACUGGGCCAAAGGACCGGAAAGGCUGCACAUGCAAUCUAUUAUGCAUCUAAGGCUUUGAAUGGAACUCAACUCAAUUAUACAAUCACAGAAAAUGAGCUUUUAGCAGUUAUUUUUGCUUUAGAAAAAUUUCGUUCUUAUUUAUUAGAAGAUAAAGUUAUUGUGUAUUCUGACUAUACAGCGCUAUGGUACUUGAUGACCAAGAAGGAUGCUAAACCAAAGUUGAUAAGAUGGAUUUUGCUUUUAUAUGAGUUCAAUUUGAAAAUUCAUGAUAAAAAGGGAGGAGAGAAUUUAGUUGCCGAUCAUUUUAGUCGAUUGCCUAUUGUUAAGGAUGAUUUUAUAUUGAGGAAAACUUUUCCUAAUGAGCAACUAUUUUUUACUAAUCCCUCUCGUCCUUGGUAUGCGGAUAUUAUUAAUUUCUUGACCACUAAUCAAUUGCUUGCACAUUGGUCGAAAACAAAAUGAGAUAAGCUCAAAUGUGAUGCUAAGUAUUACUUAUGGAAUGACCCCUAUUUAUAGAGGCAAUGUGCAGAUCAAGUACUGCGUAGAUGUGUAAUUGAGAGUGAAUUUAAUUUAAUUUUAACAUUUUAUCACUCUUAUGCAUGUGGAGACCAAUUUAGACCACAAAGAAUAGCUCGUAAAGUAUUAGAAAGCGAUUUUUAUUGGCCUACAAUUUUCAAAGAUACAUACUUGUUUUGUAUGUCAUGUUAUAGAUGUCAAAGGAUAGGAAAUAUUUCUCAUAGAAACUAGAUGCUACAAAUCCCUAUGAUUUUUUGUGAAAUUUUUGAUGCAUGGGGUAUUGAUUUUAUGGGUCCAUUUCCUUUGUCUUUUGGUUUCCUUUACAUUUUGUUGGCCAUAGAUUAUGUGUCGAAGUAAAUGAAAACAAAAACCACACGAACUAAUGAUUCUAAAGUGGUUGCAUAUUUCAUUCAAUCAUAUAUUUUUGUUCGUUUUGGGGUACCACGAAUUAUAGUAAGUGAUUGAGAAAAACAGUUUUGCAAUAAAAUGUUGACGGCUCUAUUUCGUAAAUAUGGAGUGACUCAUAAGGUAUUUACAUCCUAUCACCCCAAACGAAUGGUCAAGUGAAAAUUUCGAAUAGGGAAAUUAAAUAUAUAUUGGAGAAGAUGGUUCGUCCCGAUAGGAAUGAUUGGAGUUCAUAAUUGAACGAUGUACUCUGGAUUUAUAGGAUAGCCUAUAAGACUCCUAUAAGUAUAUCUCCCUAUAGGUUGGUAUUUGAGAAGCCGUGUCAUUCAUCGGUUGAGCUCGAGCACAAAGCAUAUUGGGGGAUCAAGAAAUGUAACAUGGAUCUUGAUGAGGUUGAAAUACACAGAAAACUCCAAUUACAAGAAUUGAAAGAGUUGAAGAAUGAUACUUACGAGAAUGCAACACUAUAUAAAGAGAAGAUUAAGGUUUUUCAUGACCAAUAAGUUGCAAGGUAAUCAUUUAUAGUUGGGCAAAGAGUUCUUCUCUAUCAAUCUUGUCUAAAGCUCUUGCUAGGUAAGUUGUGCUCUCGUUGGGUUAGUCCAUUUGUUGUGAUUAAUAUUUUUCACUAUGGUGCUAUGGAAAUUCAGAGUAUGCAGACAGAUAAGAAAUUUGUCGUUAAUGGCCAUCAUUUUAAACCCUAUUAUGAAAGUGUUUCAAUGGAGAAUGUGGAGAUAAUAAAUCUUGAAGAUCCCACUUAUGCUGCUUGAGCAAUAUUCGACCAUGUCUAACCAAAGAGGUUAAAAAAAGACGCUUAUUGGGAGGCAAUCAAAUUCUUUUUUUAUUGUUUGUUCACUAAUAUUAUGUGUUUCACUAUGUUUAUCUUAGGUUUUGGUAUUUUAAUUUUAAUUUUUAAUGUUUUAUUGGUUAGAAGACUUUCUCCCAACAAGACGUGCCCACGCCUUAAGGGUACGUGGUAAUGCACAAAUAUCCAAUUCCAUCAUCAGAAAACUAUGGACCAACAUAAUGUGCCCACGUCUUGAGGGUAUGUUGUAAUUCAUAAUUAGCCAACUUUAUCAUCAAAAGAGUUUCAACCAAUAAGACGUGCCCAUGUCUUGUCCUAGCAAGGGAAAAAAAACAAAUUGAACCCAAAAGAAUUUUUUUCUUUCCUUUGUCUUUUCCCUUUUCUAUUUCUUUUCCUUUCCUUCUUUCUUUCUUUGUUCUUUCUUUUUUUCUUUCUUUAUUUCGCUCUUUCUUUUCCCCAGCCGCACGGCCAAAACUCUAUUUGCUGCUUGCCUACCAUCCACUGUUGUUGCCAUUCGCUAGUUUGUCUCUGCUACCAUUGCUAUCAUCGCCGUUCGUCUAAGCCUAUCGCUGGUUUCGCCGUCGCCCGUCUCUAGUUUUGCCGUCGCUUGCUACUGUGCCAUUCACCGCUGCUCGCGCUGCCAUGAACGUCCAUCCUCUGCCAGCGACAGCCAUCGCUCCGCACUUUCUCUGUUGUCUUGUUUCUACUGACCCAAUUUUUGGUAUUCUUGUCCUUCUCUUUUAAAUAUUGUUGGGUUGCUACUUCGGAGUUUAUUAGAAUUUCUUUUUGCAGGGUUGAUUUAAUUUGUUGAUUGGGUAUUCCUCGAAUUGUUGGAUUGGCACUACCUGACAUCUGCUUGUUUUCUGAUGAUGACCACUAACUUGCACUACUAUUUUGCAUCCAUGGGGAUUCAAUGCUGAUUGGAGGUUAUAAACUGUGGUGAAAUUGCCGCUACUUACUUGCCAAUUGCUGAUUGUUGAUCUUGAUAGGGGGUAUUGUUCUUACAUUUCUUGUUUUGUUAUUAAAUAGUGUCACAUCUUUGGGCUCUUUACUGUACACUUUGAUUUGAGAUUGCUUGGCUAUCUUUAGUCGUUUGGCAUACAUUAGAGGCUUGUAUUUCGCCAUUGUCUGACGUUGUUUACUGCUAUUUUUGGAUUCAGUUAUCUAAAUGGCGAAGAAAAAAAAGACCACUAACGCCAAGACCCCUACGACUAAAACCACUCCCCCAUCCCAACCAACUAUACCCACGAUUGACCCUUCUCCGUCCUUCUUUUUCGAGUAAAUGGGCAUGCUUAGGUAGGGACAAAGAGGUCUAUAUCUCCUCACUCUCCCACUUUGGGGGUAAUUUGACUCUCACCAAAGCCGUCAAUAAGCAAAGAUACUCUAAUUUUUAUGAGUGGCGAAUUAUUCCUUGUAAACAUCUUGACCCUCCCAUCAUGGUUUCUUUGAAUUUCUUUGAGAAUAUUGCAUAGAUGUUUACUGCCAUAGGCUGGCGUUGUUAUGCCGAAAUACGAUGUCCUGCUUUUGUUGAAUUGGUUAGGGAGUUUUACGCCACCUUUCAGUUUGAUCUAUCCAUGGGGUAUUCUAUCACAACCCCGAAUGUGAUUCGAUUUCGAUUGAUGGGUUAGGAGUUUAAGUUCUCCAUUACUUAGUUUAAUUUGGCUGUGGGUUCAUCGAUAGUGAGUAUGCCAAUUUUAAGGAAUAUGCCGAGAGUGCUUGUGAUUAUAUCGAACCAUUUUUCUCUUUUCACACCGAGAUUUGAAAGGACAUUUCUAUUGAUGGUGAUUGUUAUAAUCCUAGCCGGUCCAAGAGCUGUUAUCUCAAGGACCUGAGUUCCUGUUAUAUUCAGCACUUUUUAGCCUAUAAUUACUCAGGUAGGAAAGAUAGUUCCGAGACCUUUUCUAAGCCUAAAUUUUUCUUUAUUUGGUGUAUGACUAAAAUAUCAAAGUUAAUUUGGGCUAUUGGCUAGUUUCCCAAUUCAAGACGGUUAUGGUUAAGAAAAACAAACCUUUGAUUCUUGGGUUUUACAUCACACAUUUAGCUAUUCAUUUAGACAUUGUUGAUCCCUAUGACCAUGAUUUACAUUUGGCUUGUAACAUGGACCCUUUAGAUAUGGUUUGUCUAGAGAAAAUGGGUGUAGUGGGACAGGUUGAUGACGCGUGGCAGUUUACUCUUUCGGGGACCACUUGUGUACUUGUUCAUCGUCCUUCCACGUGUGCUAGUACCUCUUCUACUUCCUGAGUAGCCGAUGGCAAGCCUGGACCAUCUACCUCUGCACCUUCUCCAUUGUCGUCUUGGGAUGCUGAGUGGCAAUACCUUUGUGCACAAGUUCACCAUAUGGAUGAACAGUUGACUAAUCUUGCACUUCACAUGCCCCAGAUGUCCUAGACUUUUUGCGGCUUACUUCCACUAUGUGGGUUUUACGCCGCCAUUCCCGCCUCAUCCAUAGCUGUUUGGAGUCCUUCUCCACAUUCUUCAGGAAAGUUUCGUUGUCCCCUUCCUUUUCUUUUCUUUAUUUCUUCCAUUCGGGACAAUAUCAGAUUUAGGUGUAGGGGGAGUUGUACAGUUGGUACUAUUCAUUUUAGGUGUUUUCAUUUUCUUUUUGUCAUUUGUGAGUAUUUUUAUGGAUAUUUGGGAUCGACAAUGGUUAGUUGAUUCCAAUUUUUCUAUUACCAAGUUUUAUUUAUAAGAAUGUAUCGAGUGCAAUAUGAGUAAGUCUAAGAAUGGCUCCUUGGUGAAUAUUUGAGAUUUUGUGACUUUUGCAAUUUUUGGUUAGCUUUUCUAGGCAUUGUGCAUAUUUUUCUAGUAUUUUUCAUGUAAAUUGGUUCAAUUAUUAAUCUUAGUUCUCCAUGUUUGAGGAAAUGAUGCAACCUUGUGUGAUUUUUAACAUUGUUUUGUUGCUAAUUUGUGAAUAGUGUUUGGCUAUAUUCCGGUGGUUAUCGCUACCUAGUAACCGGGAGUGUUCACCUAAAGUAUCGACUUUCGUGUCAAACAGUAGCGGUAGCUAUGAGUAUGUGGCCCUUAAAUGAUGAAAAGUUGAGUAACCGGAUUCCUUCUUUUGGUAGAUGUCAGAAUUUACAUCAAAAGACUUGAAUGGCUAAGGACUAAAUCUUGUCCCUAAAAAAUGAACAAAAAAAAAAUAAAAAAAUAGAGAAAAAAAAGAAAACAAAAAAAAGAAACUGUGCGAGUAUAGAGUUGAUUAUGUUAGCCUGUCGAUCCAUGGGUUUGAUGUUGAGAUUUUGAUUAAUAGUUGAGUCGUUUGCUGAUCAAUGCUAGUCAAAUGUUUAAUCUUCUUAGAUUAGUUAGUCAGGAAUUGGAGAAGUCCUUGGUUUUAAAAGCUAACCGAAGAGUUAUUUCUUGGAACUUGGCUAUCAAUGCUUGAUGUCUACUUUGAUGAUAUUUUAACAAUAGAUGAGUUGAGUGAUAACCAUUGUUGGGUUUCAGUUACUGAUUUGUUGUUUCUCAUACUUGAGAACAAGUAUGUUCUAGGUGUGGGGGGAAAUUGAUAGGGUGCAAAAUUGUUAUUCAAUUUAUGAUUAGUUUUCCCUUUUAUUUUAGCCAAAUAUUGUUUUAAUUGUCGAAUUCUAUUUAUAUUUGGUAUUUGAUGCUAUUGUAGGGCGGUGGAGCGAAAGUUGCUAAAAAGGGACAAUUUUCUUCAAAGUUGAUUGUCAAGUGCGGAGAUGCGGGAUUUGCACGUAAGAGUUUCCUAAUCCAAGAUGGAGUCUGAGCAGAGUAGCGACUUGAGAUUAAGAAAGUUUUUCUUCUAGAGAUUUGAUUUAAUUAGGAAACAAUUAGCCUUAUCUUUUGGGAGUGGUUCCUUUUUCAAUUAGAAGUAUUUUUAUUCUUGAAAGCAAGAAAAUAGGGGAAGGGCCGUUUGACUUUUAGUACUCGACAAAAAACAAAACUUGGGAGACGAGAAUUUUUUGGGAGCGCUGGUGACUAGUCUCGCGGGCAGGAACAGAACAAAGUUGCUGUCCUCUUUGUCAUUGCUUUUACUCUCAUUUUCUAUUUUAUUUGAUGCUUAUGCAAUUUACGUCAAUUAAAUUGUGUUGCUUGAUGCCGAUGACGUGCAACUAAAUUUUGCUUUUCUAGCCAAGAAAUAACGUGAAUUUGGGUCAUCAACAACUAUGAGAUCAAACUGUUUUUAUUAAUUUCUUUUAUUCAUUAGUAUUCGUAUGUUUUCAAGUUUAAUUGCUUAUAGGAGUUAGUUGUUUGAAUAUCAAAGGCGUUUGAUAUUUAAUUCAACCUAACAAACUAUUGCCAGUUAAAACAGUUAAAUUCGUAAUUGUUUAAUUAUUUUAAAUUAGUAGCGACUAGCGUGAUUGGCUUUACGUUAGGAAGACAUAUGAUUUAAUUUAAAUAAACCCUGAUAAUGUGUUUAUUAAUUAGAACAGGACUUUUCUAGUUUCUAAUGCAAUUAAAGAAUUAAAUUUUAUGGAUGUACCUAGGGUUAUUUUUUGGUUAGAAAAGUAGUUAACUAGUGUACCUUAACUAUUGAGAUACUAAGGAAGAGCUGGUUGUGAUCACAUGUUUGGCAACUAUAACCUGUUUAUUAACCAUAAAUGAAAUAAUUCUUGCAUCGAUGAGCAGUUGUUUGACCCGUUUCCAGAGUUAUUUCCUUGGUUAGAGCUCGUUUAUCCUUGAUUUAAAUUUAAUCUGUUUUAGUUUAAUUAUUUUCAAUUUGCAUUGAUUAUUUAUUUUUAAUUGCAAUUUUCCAAACUCCCCCCAAUUAAUUGUCACUUGAAAGAAGCAAAUUUUCACUCGAAACCUUGAGUUUAUAUCUUUUUGAGUAGGAAUUUAUUUUUACACAAGCCUGGCACUUGUCAAUUAACACAAGGUUUCGAGCAAUGCACAGUUUCUUUUGUAUCUAGAAUGGCUAAUGUAGCAAGUCAUAUGCUAGCACAUUUUGCAACAUACCUAGUUUAUGAUAUAAAAUGGGUAAAUGAUUUCCCAAUUCGACUAAUAGAAGCAGCUAGGAAGGAUGAGUGGGUGAAUGUCCCCUUUUGUAAUUAACUCUUGUACUUCAAGUGUUGAUAGAUAUACUGAUAGUAUCAUUUGUUGAAAAAAAGAGAAAGUGUUUAUUUGUUUAAUAAAAUGGUCACGGUAGUGUUUAUAUAAUUUUGUAAACUUCGGAAAGUAAAUUACCUCGUUGAAUUUGUAUAAUUUGAUUAUGUUGAAGAAACAUAAUCUUGAAAAAGCAGAGAAAUUUUCUAGUAAAUAUUUAUGUUAUUUUGAUAGCUAAUCAUUGUUCAUAUCAAUAUACUAGCUAUAAACUUAUACUCGCAAUACUACUGUUACGGUAUAAAAUUUCUCGUCAGAGCAAUUUAUAAUUUCAUCCCAUAUUUACCCUUGACUGUUAACCUCAAGUUCUUCAGAUAUCCAUGGGACAGUGUAACCCCUUUGAAGGUCAAUUCUUACACCCUCAUCAAAGUUUCUGGAGUUGCGUAUUAUAGGGGUGCAAACACAAAAACGAGACAUCCUUAAUCAAAUGGAGUUCCUUCUUUUUGCGAUUCAUUCCUCUGCAAAGCUCCUCCUCCUCCGAUUUUAAUAUAUGCCGCUGUUAAAAUAGGAUACUAAUUAGGUGAAUACGAGGACUCUCGUUCGACUCUCGAUCUUUCCUCUCAAAUUACACUAAUAUUUUUAAUCAUACACUCAUCCCCUUACUAACUUCCUAUGGGCCCAAUAUGUUGAGUAGAAUUCGAUUGGAACAACCGAAAAGAAAAGAAAAGAAAACAAAUACAAAACAAUGAAAUGGACACUUAGUCAAGUUGGAACCUAGGAGGAAGUGAGGAGCACAAGUGCGAACAGAUCACCAAGGAAAAAGAAACAAAUUUUUCGAGAAUGCAAUUUGAUUUCAAGCUCAAUCAUAUUCUAAGAGUCAAUGAUAAGAUCGAAAAAUGUAGGUCCAUUGUUAAGAUAUAGACGGAGAUGGUUGCUUAUUGAGCGUUGGAAAUAUUUCAUAAGCAAGUUGUACUUAUAUCUCAACUUGUAUAAUUUUAAUUUAAUAAGAUUAAGUUAAUGACCAUGUCAAUGAUCUCUGCGUCGUGCAUGACAUUCUUUUUUCUUGUACUCUCCAAAAGCCUCCUCCAGCAGUGGCUGCAUGUCUGUACAUGUUCCCCCACAACAAGAAUAAUGAAUCAAUUGCCAUAAUUGCACGCAUUUAAAUUUUCUGAGCUGGUGAUAAAUUGCAUAGUUUUGAUUUUUUCUGUUUCCGGUUCCCACUCUAGCUACUUCUAGAUUUAUUAAUUGGAAAAAAAAGAAGAAGGAAUAAAUUAAACCUUAUUUAAUUACUUUUUUAGUCAGGAUAUCUAUAGUAGAUGUAAUUAUCUCUAUAGAAAUGAAUGAAGCAUCCUAGCUUGUGAUCAUUAUCCUCUGUUGCAAUUCUCUUGUUCAAACUUCAAAUUUAGGUCUUGUUUGCUAAUCCAAUUCAGCAUUUAAAUUUAAUGGAUUCAGAUUUUAAUAUAUUCAGAUGCGUUUGAUAACCAAAAAUUGAACAUCUGAAUUAAUUAAGUGAUACUAAAAUUUUCAGGCAAAACUUACCCCUAAAAAAGAGCGAUAAGUUAUUCACUUAUCACUUAAUGUGAUAUACACUCAAAUAUAUCAGAUUUACUACUUAUAAUAACUUAAUGAAUUCAGAAUUCAAAUUUCAUAUUUCAAUUUUAUCAAACGCACCCUAUCUCACGGCAAACUGAAUAUGAAAUCCAAAGUUGAAAAUCCAAGAUGUUAGAACUUUGAAACCAUAGAGCCUCUAGGCAAAUUCAGCAUUUUUACAUUCUAUUGAUUUAGGGCAUCUUCAAUUAUCAGUUUCAACUCCAUGGUAUAAUAUAGAUAUUACCUCUAAUAGUUGUACGCACUUACACAACAAAUACAGAUUGUGAAAUUAAUUGUUUAAGUUUGAUAUUUUGUAGGCUUUGGGAUAUAAUUUUCACGUUUAGGAAAAAGAAAAUAUGUUAGUAAGUAAUAAUGUGAUACCCCUUGUCCCACGUUGGAAGUGGGAGAGGAAAAGGAUUGAUAUAUAUGCAAGAUUUGGUCGCAUAAGUUACUAGUUACUUGGGCUAACCAUGUCGGAAAGUGUAUUUCGACACAAAAAUUACUUACGCCAACCAUGGGCUUGGAUGGUGAUAAAUAACUUACUAGAAGCCAGGCAUGUUUAUGUUUAGAUGUCCUGAAAGCAGAGUAGUUCAGAAUCUAGAUAAUGGUAACGAUAUGAUGAGAAUGUGAAGUUAUUUGGUAAACUUUAUAGAUUAAUAAUUUCAUCAAGGCAUCGUAUAUAACCAUGAUGACACAAUCUCAACUUUCAUUCUUUUGUUAAAUCUUAGUUUUUUUCUCUUAAAUUUUUUCGAAUAAAGGAAUGAUGGAAUUUAAGCAGUAGAGGGGUGGAAGGGGAAUUUGAAUUCAAAACCUCUAAUUUCUAAGUUUUUCACUAAGCAAUCGUCAAAACCAAAAAAAAAAAAAAAUUAAAAGAAAAAAAAAAUUAGCACCUUAUGGUCAAUGCUCCUGUUCGAAGAUUUAUUCCUUUGGUUUGUCAUCAUCUCCCUCUAUGAAAUCUAAGUACCCUUGGUUGACAAUUUGUUUCCCUGAGCAUCCAUCAACACUUUUAUAUAGUAUUUCUUUUAAUAUAGUAUUAGAUUAGAUUAGAUUAGAUUAGAUUAUCAAUGCACCAUCAAUAUAGUAUUAGAUUAUCAAUGCACCAUCAAAACACUUUUAUAUAGUAUUAGAUUAGAUUAGAUUAUCAAUGCACCAUCAAUAUCCUUAAAUAUAAAAGCUUAAGUAUAGUAAUCAAAAUACUGUUAGUAAUCUGUAUGAUUAUUUUUUAUCCUUUAAUGUUUUAGUUUUAGGAAGAUCACAAAUGCUGCGUAUAAAGCAUGCCAUAGGCUAAAUUAAGCUAAAUUAAGUACAUUGCUAAAAUGGAGAGCAUUGCUAAAUUAAGUACUUUAAGAUAAAGACUUAAGCAGCCAGAUCCAUUUGAUGUCAGCUGCUUCAAUAUCCACCUCAAAAUAAAUUAGCCCUUGUUCUAGAUUAGCUUAAUGCUAAGUCCCUUCACCAUUCUUAGUAAUAAUUCAAUUCUGCCUCAAUUUUCUUCUGAUCUUCAAGGUAAAUGUACGAUAAAUUUCAAAAUAUAUCCCAAAUAUAUGAAUUUCUUGAAACCAUCCUUCAAUCUCAUUACCUACUCAACAAAAUGUUCCAUAAACACAAAUAUAUUAAUGAACUUGGAGUUGAUUUGAAGAAUUGACGAGAACCGCAAGCUAGAAUUUUUCAUAUAUUCAAACAAGAAAUUGGAAAAAUCUGACUAGCUUGCAACGAGUACUACAUCUCAAGACAAGGGAUCUUUUCAGUCACUCUUUAAUUGUAUCGAAGACCUACUUGCAUCUAUGAAUAAGCAAUACUGAGUGAUUUUAGAUGUGGAGUUGAUUCCAUGUGGUAGGACAACUUUGGUUUUCAAAAAUAAGGGCAGUCCAAUUCACUCAAUACAAAAAAAAAAUUUUAAAUGAUAAUAUUCAAAGGAACGUCUAUCUUACCUAAAAAAACAAACAAACAAAAAAAAAAACAAUAAAAAGGAGAUUGAUAUCCUAUCCAGUAUCCACAGAUUGAACAAUAGCCACAUUAUCUUAUAAUUCUUAAUGAUCAUUAGCUGAACUAUCAACUUUAGCAGUCAAGAAAGGCUGUAACUUGUAUAAGGACAAUAAAUUCUUUAUUCCGGCGUCCGGAGACUUGAGACGUGGACGCUUCAUUAGUCAAUAAUAAAGUGUGGAAUUCGACGAAUAUUCUUAGCUCGUUCAAGAUAACAGAGAAGAUUCACUCUUGUACAAGCAACAGGCACAGCUACUUAAACUAUUGGAUAAUUUCAUAAACCUUGGCUGAAGUUUUGGACAAUUUCAGUACCCCUCUUAUUUUCAAUAUUACGCUGACCAUUCUUACUUUAACUAAUGUAGUAACCAAUUCAGCCCAUAUCAGUAAAAGAAAUGGAAUAAAUUGACAAGAAAUGGUGUCAUCACAUUUUGUUCCACAUUUACCCUUAUAGACCCUAAAAGAAAUAUUGUAACAUAGGACAAAUUUUACUUCGUACCUUCGAACUUGAAUCACUUUUCUAUUUUCUUACUCUAAACUUUAAUUUUGGAUGCUUUCCAUGUGAUUGGAGGCAACAGCACAACAGAGCUCUUCUUAAGUCUCUGAUCGUUAGUGUCACAUGACCAUUGCUAAUUAUGCUAUUGCUUUUGAAUGGAAAUAGCAUAAAAGUCUUGGUGAAUGAACAAAUUGAAUAGACCAUUUUGCAGAGCAGUGAAAUAUUCCGAAGCCGUGAAGCACAGUGAUAAGCUACAAAUUAUAGUAAUUUAUAUUUAUUAAUUGUCAAUGAAUGGUUUUAUUUGAGCUAUAAUUAGAAUGGAAGUUGCCUAAUUUAAGUAUAUUUUGGUUUUUGCGGGAAAAGCACGCAAUUGAGGAGGAGAUGAAUAAAAAACGCAACAAAAGAAGAAGAAACGUUGAAAGGGACUUUGUGAGGACUUCUUCCAGUUCCAAUGAUUUCCGGAGAAAUUUCUAAAAUUAUGAUGAAUUUUAAAAAAAUUCUACAAAGGCGGCAUUUUGAGUAUGGGAUUCCGUCCAAGGGGUCUUCACAUUCAGUAAAUGCGAGCUCCCUCUCAGCUCGCAUUUACUGAAUGCGAAGUCUCUUGAAUUUGCAACCAACGAAAUCCAAAAAAAAAAAAAAAAAAAAACAGACCUCGCAUUUGUUAACAGUACGUAGGCCUGACCUCUUAUCCCGUUUCUGAGCAACAGAGCAUGCCACGAAUUUGAAAGCCAUUUGCCAAGUGAAAAGAAAAUGUGCAGCGCAAAUGGGACACAAAAUUGAUUGGGGAGUCCUGUUGAGGUAGUACAAGUGGCAAAUUGGGAGGGGACAGAGAGGCGCAGCUGGCUAUCUUCACAGAAAUGGGUUCCGAACAGGGGUCCAAGCUCUACAAUGGCGCAGAGCUUCCGACGAGAAAGAUGUGAGGGAUUUCGUCUGCCGAUCCUCGAAGCUUGGACUGGUGUCUAGCUCAGCAAAAGAGAAGAGAGAGUGAGCUGGAUGGAGAGAGUGAGCUCCAAUUUCUGUAGGUUAGGAGACAGAUUAGAAUGCCGUAAUUAGAGCUCUGCCUUUUUUUCAGAUUGAGUACAUCGCAUUCGAGAAAUGCGAGGUACCUCAGCUCGCAUUUGGCAUAUACGACCUUUGUUGUUUUUUACUUUUUCUCAAAACCUUUCUCUUUUUUCUUGAAACACUGACCUCGCAUUUGUGAAAUGUGAAGUCUUUGAACUAGCGUUUCACAAAUGUGAAGACCAUAAUCCUAGAAUUAGCUUCAAAAAUUACCCCCCUUGUAAAACAACUUUUUUUUCUAUCACAAUUUAAGAAUUUACUCUGAUUUUUGAGCAUAACAAGUUUGCGGCCAGAGUUAGAGCCGGUCUUCGGGCCGAACUUUAUUGGAAAACCCAUUCAAACUCGAUUUUUGGUAAGUUUUCAAGACCUAUUCCUACCACAUUUCGGAUGCAACUUUGAGAGACUAUAAAUAGGACAUUCUAGGAUAUUUUUAGGUUAGAAAGCAUUUAGCUUACAUUAGUUCAUCCUUUUUAUAUCUUCUUUUCUUGAGAGAUCACAAAGGAAGUGUUGAAGAAUCAAAGAGAAAGUUCAAGAUGGAGAUUGGAGUAGGGAAAAAUUGAGAACUUUUCUUUACUUUUAACUUCUUAUUUUGUCUUUCAUUUGAAUUCUUGGAUUUAUCUAUGAAUAUGUUGAACUAAUUUAUAUCUAGACUUAAGAUUUUGUGAAGGAGAUUUGAUUAUUUGUUCUAGAUAAAUUAUUCAAUUUUUCUUUGAUUUAUCUAUCUUGCCUUUAUUACAUAUUUUUGUUUGGCCACUAUAGAUAUGCUUUUAGGGUUUGUAUUGAAUUGAGAAGCGAUAUACAACCAUAUAUUAGAUAAAUAAACUUACUUAACCUAAUUAUGAAUGUGGGUUAGGAUUUGUAUGGCAUAAUCAUAUCACCUAAAAUCUUAAAGGGUUUAAUUAAAUACCUAUGAUCUUGAGAGCAAUGUGAGAUUUCAUUAAACACAAUUUAGAUGUAUCGAGAGAUAAUUAAAAUACCUUUACGUGAUACAUCUUUGACAUGUUAAGAAAAUAAUUGGAUAAUGAUUCCAAUUAUAAAUCAAAAUUUGAAACUCUAGUUUUUGCUAAUUGUUUUCUCACCUAUAUCUUAUUUGAUUUCAUUACUUAUUUAAUUUCUUAAUUAGUGAUUAAAAACCCUCUAAAUUUAAAUUUUAUUAUUUUUAUUAGAGUAAUUAAAGUAGAAAAAAUUAACUCAUUCCUAUAUGUUUGACCCUGGAGUACUCCAAGUGAAUUAUUAUUUCGAUCAACCCUAUACAGUUAUAGAAAUUCAUCGAUCACACAGCAACUAAAAAAAAAAAUUAAUGCACAAUAAUGUCAUGAACACAGUUCUCAUAUUAGUUGUUCAACAUUCAUGGUGGAUUUCAAUUAGUGGUAAAUAGAUAAAGUCGUCGAAAAAAGUAAUCUAAUUACUAGAUAAUUGAAUUUAUACUACAGCAUAUUUCUUUUUUCUACUGCAAAAACUUAACUAAUUUAAGACAAUGUAGUCCAAGCUAAUUGAAGAUUAAUUUCCCUAAAAAAUGUUCAUGAUAAAAACUCAACAAAGAGAUAAUACAACAGCUUACUUUUGGAGGUGAUCUUAUACGGUCUUUAUUAACAAACUAAUUAGCCACCUAAGCCUUUUUUUUUUCCUUUUGGGACUACACAUGACAAAAUGAGGAGUGAAUCAGUCGCUUAGUAUCUAAAAUUUUCGCUCCAUAAUUAGUUCAACCUGAUUUAAGACUAAAUUUUUACUAUAGGAAUGUUCGUGAUUCAGCAAUGAAACACCAUAUAAACUUAUUUUGGGAGAUUUGUCCUAGAAGAGAAAAAAUGAGCAACCAAUCAGAAAGUCGUACUUACAUAUCAAAAUCGAUACUGUCUACUUAAUUCACCAGGCACCAGCUAUGUAUAUUUCAUCCAUUUUCACAUAAUAGAAAGAACAAUAAUGCAUGGCAUUAUCCAUCAUAAAUUUCUCAUAUAACAUCAAGAUAUCAUGGUGUGGACCUCAAAUGACUCGUCAUGUCUACUGGCUACAUUUUAAACAUAUCUUAUGGCCAGAAUGUUCAUCUUAUCAACUUAACGAGUUUAUUCAUGGUACCAUACCAUUCAAUUAAAAAAGUUUCCACCUUUUACCUUUUAUUUAUAGAUGUCGAGGAAUAUAGCUGAUAACGCACUUUUGGCAGCAAUCUUCCUUCACCCAAUUAAAGAUUUUCGGAGCUUAAAGUUCAGCUCCUAAAGCUCUUCUCCAAGGCUCACCAACCAACAGAGAAAUUACUUUUAGCAAAGUUUUGAUGGCAUCUUGGCAAGAUUGGAAGAUUAUAUUGCGCUUCUAAGAUAAUGUUUAAAAAAGCUAUUUUAACGAGGGCAUUAUGGUCAAUUUGCCCCUGAUGAUAUUGACAUUAGGUCCCAUCAACAUCAGAAGGGAGCUCAUUGUAUUAUUGGAUAUAACAAGAGUGCUAGUGAAAUUAUGAAAACCCUCAAGGAAGGUUUUUGAAAUUAACCCUAAAAUACUCAUUCCACGCAAGGCGUGGCGUUCCCCUCCUAGUUCCUAUAAAUAGGGCUGCAACUCAAUGCACUUAUCACUCGAUAUCAAUAAUUUAGCACAUUAUUUACAUUUUGAGUGAGAUUGUGAUCAAAUGACAUCUUCAAAAAAUUUGCUCUUUCUUAUUGGUGUUCUUUUUGCACUUGUGCUCCUCAUUUCCUCUGAUGCAACAGCUGCAGGUGCCUAGUCCCUUUUUUUCUUUUCCUUUCUUCCUUUUUUUUUUUGGCUGCACCUAAAUACUUAAAUGAAUGGAGAUUUGGAGACUCAUUAUUGGGAUGUGAAUUUUUAUGGAAGGCUAUUUGUAUAUUAUCAAGCAAGUCAUAUUAAUGUGCUAAUAUCUUUUUCAUUGUUUAGCAAAAGUAAAUUUGGGUUGCUUCUAUCAAUGGUUAGUGGCACAUCUGAUUUUUCAUGCAUCCUUAUAGUAUUGCUGUAAGGAUACACGUUCCAUAGUGUCGCACCAAAGAUUAAACUAACGUCGAAAACCAAAUUAAAUGCUUCUAAUUAUAAUUUAAAGCAAAAUAAUUCCCCUUAUAAAUGGACGAAACUUCCUGCCAACAAAUCCAAAUUCAAGAAAAAAUUUUCUUAAGGGGAAACUCUGCCAAAAUUUUCUUAAAAUAAAUAAAAUAUUUAAUUAAAAAAAUGAAGCAAAAUAAUUCAUAUCCAAGUCGCACCAUCUUAUAUGCCUAGACUGUUUUGUUUAAUCCAUAGUAUUCUUUUCUUUGCAUAUAUCUUGCAAAUUUUCAGCCAAGCCGGUCACCUAACGUUCGCAGCUUAAGAUAAAGCUCCAAAUAUUUAUGUCUCCUUGUGUCUUGAAACAGAUCAGAAGAGCGUGAAAACCACUGGUGUCCACGAUGCCAGUUCAGGCGAGGUUCAUCAGGAUAGCAAAAGCGAAGAUCGUUGCAGACAUGGUUGCUGCCACUGGUACCAUGGACACUGCCAAAGAUGCUGUCGAACUGCCGAGGAGACCCCUGAAGUCACAUCUGGAGAUGAGGAUACCGUAACCGCAGAUCGUUGCAGACAUGGUUGCUGCCGCUGGUACCAUGGACAUUGCCAAAAAUGCUGUCCACCUGAAGAUCGUUGCAGACAUGGUUGCUGCCACUGGUACCAUGGACAUUGCCAAAGAUGCUGUCCACCUGCUGAGGAGACCCCUGAACAUCGUUGCAGACAUGGUUGCUGCCGCUGGUACCAUGGACAUUGCCAAAGAUGCUGUCCGCCUGCUGAGGAGACUUGCAGACAUGGUUGCUGCCACUGGUACCAUGGACAUUGCCAAAGAUGCUGUCGAACUGCUGAGCAGACCCCUGAAGCUACAUCCGGAGAUGAGGUCAAAAAUUAACGCUAAAUAAAUAAGGGCGUGACACAGGAUCCGUGACACCUAUAUUAUUACCUUAAUAUGUUAUGUUGUGUUUGCUUUUAAUGGUUGAUUUCCUAUAUGUGUAAAAGACUUGUGCGGCUUCUCUUUGAAUUGGUGUAGAAUCAACGGGGGAAGCAUGUAAUGAGUAUUCAGUUCGAGUGCUCUUCUUAUGUUGUUGUCAUGUUGAAUAAAUAAAUCUACUUGAUCAUCUACUACAAUUGAUGAUCUUCUUAUGUUUUUUUUUCACUUUAUCUUCCUUCAAGAUUUUUGGUGGAAAUGCUUCAUUUAUACGAAUUUUCCUAGUUAGUAAAUGCUUCUAUUACACUUGUACAAUACACAUUUAAAAGUAUAACACAACAAAAGCUUGUGUAGUUCAUAUAUUUAAAAAAUAUUCAUACUUUUCAACUAAACUAUAAAAAUAUGUAAUAAAUUCUUUAUACAUUAUACUUUACGAACUAUACUUUAAAUUUUAAAAAUAUUUAAUAGUAUCACUUAUCAAUAACUCCACAUGUUAAUUUGUCUUCCAAUUCAGUAAAUUAUAGUAGCUAAUUCUCAAAGCUAACCGACACCAAAAUUCCCUCACUUGUUCAGCUCCUAGUGGAUUUAUAUUAAUUACAUUGCAUUUAUUUCCUAAGCAUGAGUUUUGUAACCCCUCAUAUUAAAUCUCAAUGAUUGAUUUUAACGGUUACCCAGGCGUCUAGUAAUUGGUUUGCUAUUAAUUUGAACUAGACAUUUAUUAGGUCUAGUAGAAUUUAUUCCUUCUUAUCACUUAGUUCAUAAACCUUACGAAUCGUUAAAACCAGCUCUAACAUCAGCUAACAAGACUUCUACAAUUUCGGGUUUUGCUUAGAAAUCAGUCUGAUAGGUUAACUUGCUUCGUCCAACUUUAUGAGUUGCUUCUUUUUUCUUUUUUUUUCCAUAUUUGACAUUUCAUCUUACUUUAAUAUGGGGACCAAGUUAGUAUUGUUGACAUUUCAUAUCUAAGACUUCUUAAUUAAUUGAUUUGUUAUAAGAACUAUAACGUAUGCGUGUUUUGUAAGCUUUCAUGUUUUUUUAUUUUUUCAAUUCUUGUGGACCAGCAACGGAUAGUUUCUUCUAGUACCAAUCUUCCUUUGAAGUUCUUUAAUUUUUUUUUUGUGUCCAAAUGUAAAUUAAAAGAACCAACAACUUUGAACAAGUCUAUAUCUAGUAAAGAUAGAUAUAAAGAGGGAUACUAUAUCACUGCAACAAAAAAGGGAUUUGGCGAGGAGCAAAAGUCCACGCCAAAAUUUUUGACUUCGUCGCCAAUUAAUUUCAGCGAGAAAAAUGCUUCCUCGUCAAGUUUCUUGCUAGAUGCUCAUCGCUAAAAGUUAUUAGAGAGGAUGUUGUUGCUUUUCUCGCUAAUGAAACAGAUCAAUAGCAAGGAUUGACCUCCUCGCCAAUCUGAUUCAAAUACUAUGGCGAGAAAAGCUUUCCUCACCACUAAAGUUAAAAACUCCCCACAAAAACCAGUAGUUCCUAGCAAAUAGUCAAGGUGUUCUGCUAGGAAAAAUAGCGCAUCCUUACCAAUAGUAUAGAAUUAGCAAGGAUUCUUUUGACAAAUCUGCAAUGCCUCGUGUACCAGUAAAACAUUUUUGGCCAGGAAAGUUUCCUCUCUAAUAAGCAAUAAUUGAUUAUUGUCUAACUGUUUGGUGGGAAAAUGUUCCUCUCCAAUGCUGUUAUGAACAUUUCUUAAUCCCAUUUAGCAUGCUAAUCUUAAUUCUCUGAGCAAAUUACUGGGUGGUUUUAUUAGAAAAUUUAGCUGCAAAUAGCUUCAAUUUGGCUUCUCAUGUGUCUGUUGUACAUUUUCCAGGUUCUUAUAAGUAUCAAAUUGUUUGGCAAAAUUUUUUUUUAAUGAAUCAUGACCAACGUAGCUGCUCAUUAAAUUUAAACUCAUAAGCCCUAGUAUUUGAUAGCUUUUUGGAAUAUCACUUGGUGCCAACAACCCCCUUUUGCUACUUUGAUAAACAUUCAAUAGAAAACAUACAAAAGCUUUGGUUAGCUAAAAAUAAUUGUUAGCAAAGUAAUACAUCAACAUCCAGCUCUUUCAACAUCUUGAGCCAUACAAAUAGGAAGUGCUUGAAAUCAAUUGGCAAUCCAAAUUUUUUUUAGCUCAUUAACCAUCCAAGAAAUCGCAACUUCAAUAAGUCAUUACAAAAGAAGAUUUCAUCAAGAGAACACCACAAAAAGGAGAAGCAGAAAAAAAAUAUAAGAGAGAGAGAGAGAGAGUUAAACUAGUCAUAUGGACACAUAUUUGUCACCUCAGUAUUUCCAAUUCCUUAAUUCAGUCCAGUUAUCUUGGAACUCUAUCGGCAAUCCAUGGAACAUUUUUUGAAUGACAAUAUGCUGUUGCAACCUUCUGGUGAAGACUUCAAAGGUUCUAUGAUAGGUUGCAUUUUUGUCAUUAAUUCUAUGAUUAUUUUCCUCAUUUAUAUUACCAAAUAUUGUAUUAAUUGAUUGAUUCUACUUAUAUUUGGUAUUUUGUGUCAAUUGUAGGAAGGUGGAGCAAAAAAUAAUAAAAGAGGUGAUUUUUCAAGAGUUUUCCAUUUCAAGAUGGAGUUUACGUGGAGUAUUGGAUGAAAAUUAGGAAACUACCACUUUUUAUUAGAUGUCUUAUUAGGGAACAAUUAGCAAUAGUUGGAGAAGUUUCCUUUUGCAAUUAGAAUUCUAUUUUUAGUUGGCCAAUGGACUGCCGAAAUAAUGGACUUCAAUUAGGAAACAAAGAGAGAAAAAAGGCCGGAAUCCCGCGUGAUUACUACCUUGGAGGGAACAAGAAAAAGGAGACGUCCGCUGGUCUCUUCUUUAGUGAGUCUUUUGGAAAAAACCAAUGGUUAUCGAUGGUGUCCUGCGGAUCUCUCCUGAUGAUGUGUAGCUAAAUCUCCGUUUUCUAGUCGAAUGUCAAUUUGAGGACUCGAUUCCAAACAUAUUUGAUAAGAGAAUAUUUAAUGUACAUUUUGUACAAGUUUGGCAUGAACUUUUGAUGUGUUUUGAGAAGAUUAAAGCCAUAUUUGAACUCUUUUGGUGAUAAAUGCUUAAAUAUUAUGUAAGUGUUCAAAACUUGAUAAAUGAGUGGAUUAAUGCGUUAAUUUUGUGAAAUUGUGAAGGAUAUUGAUAUAUGAAAUUCAUGCACGAGAUGAAGGAAAUGUAAGGAUCGUCUAGAGGAUAAAGUACAAAAGAAACUAGGAGCAAAAAUGAAGAAAAAGGAAAGAAGUGAAAAACUGGAAAUUGAUCAGCACAGAUUUGAGCUCGGAUCCGUGUGAACAAAGGGCGAUCCGAGCCCUCGUCUGCACUUCUGGAGCAGUGCAUCCGAGGCCAGACAAUCUGAGCUCGGAUUAUUAAGAGAAAGACCUCGGAUCAGCCUUGAUCCGAGCUCAGAUCGUAGUGCACACCUCGGAUCCAGGUCUCGGAUCUGCCUCUCUUCUGCAAGUGGCACGGCCGUUUUUUCUCAUUUUCACACAACUUUCCAGCUAUCUUGGGUGAGAGAAUUCGAUGGCACAUGCUUCUGCAACAAAAGGGAAGACAAAAUGAGUUAUUGAUAAGUCAAAACAACAUUUCUUUUGACUUUCUUUACAAAAUCUGAGUUGUUGGAAUCAUGAAGGAGAAGAAAGUGCCUUUCUACCACCUUUUAUGCAGAGAACUAAGGAGAAGUCAGGCAUCACCAUAUGGAGGAGUUUUUCAUCUUGUAACAUUUUUCUCUCUAGCUAGAAGUUCUAAAAACAAGCACUUGGAGAUUUCACUUGUAAUCAUCUUGUACAAGACAUAGCAAAAAUUUGAGGGUUUCACCAUUAAUUGGCUAAGCUUUUCUUUAUCUUUCUUGUACUUGUACUUUAUGAUGUUUUGCAUUAAUAAACUUGUGAGUUUGAUUGUUAUAUUAUUCAUGAGUAGCUAAAUUUCUUUAUCUAGAGAGUAGAUAAAUGAUAUGAAUUGAAUGUGAUUUACACUUGUUAUAUCUUGUAUUAACUUGUCUAUUUGUGCAGUUGUAAUUACUUGUUGUUGUUUGAUCACCAAUAGCAUGUUUAUAGUUGUUAUUAGUCAAUAAGAAUUGGUAGUAACAAUAGAAAAAAUAUGAGUAGAGCUUGAGUUGUAUGUUCAUGAAAAUAGAUGUACACUUAAGUGGAUUAGCUAGCAUUUCAUGAAGGAAAACAGAGUAGAACUGGUAGUUCACCAUGAAAAUAGGGAAAACUGGAUUACUCUAGGCCAUUUUAUCAUGAGAAUGAGAUUUGGCAAUAUUGAAAAUGAAUCCCUGGUUAAACAACAAUAAUAACAAGAGGUAAAUCUAUUCAUUUGUGUUGUUUAUACCAUAAGUGGAAUCUACAUCCCUAGAUUUAUUCUUGAGUGAAAUUUAUCCAUUUGCAUUUAGCAUUUGUUAAACUAGAUUUAUAGACAACAACAUUAUAAUUUCUCUGCUCAAAUUCAUUUAUAAGUCUAAAUAAUAGAGAAAAUAAGGGCCUAGUACUUAUUUAAAUUGCUCCUCGUGGGAUCGACUUGAUACAUACCUUACAUUACGAUUUCGACCUGUAUAGUUGCAGUCAACGGGUAUAAAAUCGAAUUCAAACUUGCAUUGAUAUAAAAAUCCCGUCACAUAUGUGAGAUCGAAUUAUUUUACUUAUUUCUUUUAUUCAUUGGUAUUUGUACAUUUUCUGAUUUAACUUCAUAUACUUGUUAUGUUAUUUGAAUGUCAAGGGCUCGAUAUUCGAAUUAACCUAAUAAUCUACUGUUAGAUUAAUUGAUUGAAUCCCUAAUUGUUCAAUUGAUUAAUACCAGUGGCAACUAGCGUGAUUAGUUUCAUGUUAAGGAAACAUAUGAUCUAACUUAAACGAACCCUCGUAGCGUGUUUGUUAAUUAAGGUUGGCUUUUCUAAUUCUUAUUGCAAUUGAGAAAUUAAAUCCUAUAGUCGUACCUAGGGUUAUUUCUUGGUUAGAAAAAUAGUUAAUGGUCGUACCUUAACUAUCGAAAAAGUAAGAAAAGAUUGGUUGUUUAUCGCGUGUAUAACAACUAUAACCAAUCUAUUAAUUAGUAAUUGAAUUAUCUUUGCAUCGAUGAUCAGUUGAAAGGACCAUGUCUGAAAAGUUGCACCUUUGGCUAGAGUUGUAUUGGUUAUUGAUUAAUUCCUGUUUAUUUCUAUUAGUUGUUUCAUUAGUUGAUUAAUUAGUUAUUUUAUAUUUUUCAAAAACCCCCCAUACUUCGGACUCUGGAAGAAAUGAAUUAUCCCCAAUCCCUGUAGAUUCGACCCUGCUCACCGCUAUAUACAAAUUUGUAUUUUUCUUGAGUAGGUAAUUAUUAUUGCACAUGUUCAACACCUGUCAUUCUAUAACUGUAUACAGAGUCAUCUUUUUCAAAGAUUUCCCAUGCUGCAAAAUGUACUCUACGAGCUUUAUUUCACCCUGUUCCUGAAGAGUUUGCUUGAUCCGAUAUACCCGAAUGGGAUGGUUAUUUCUUUCACAAAUAAUUAUGAAUUUGUAGACAGGGCAAGUAGGGUCGUAUCCACAGGGACUGGGUAUAUUUGUUUCUUAAGAAAUCCAAAAUAACAUAGGGGGGUGAUUUUGUAGGAACGACGACAAUAAAAUAAAUUCAAUUAAGAAAAUAAAAAUAAAUAACUAAUUAGAGAUUAAACAACAAUUCACUGAACUUAGAGUAAUAAUAAUUAAAGGCCUAAAUCAAUUAAAACAAGGAAGCAUGAAAAUAGAUGUACACUUAAGUGGAUUAGCUAGCAUUUCAUGAAGGAAAACAGAGUAGAACUAGUAGUUCACCAUGAAAAUAGGGAAAACUGGAUUACUCUAGGUCAUUUUAUCAUGAGAAUGAGAUUUGGCAAUAUUGAAAAUGAAUCCCUGGUUAAACAACAAUAAUAACAAGAGGUAAAUCUAUUCAUUUGUGUUGUUUAUACCAUAAGUGGAAUCUACAUCCCUAGAUUUAUUCUUGAGUGAAAUUUAUCCAUUUGCAUUUAGCAUUUGUUAAACUAGAUUUAUAGACAACAACAUUAUAAUUUCUCUGCUCAAAUUCAUUUAUAAGUCUAAAUAAUAGAGAAAAUAAGGGCCUAGUACUUGUUUAAAUUGCUCCUCGUGGGAUCGACUCGAUACAUACCAUACAUUACGAUUUCGACCUGUAUAGUUGCAGUCAACGGGUAUAAAAUCGGAUUCAAACUUGCAUUGAUAUAAAAAUCCCUUCAAGUUUUUGGCGUCGUUGCCAGAGAGUGGCAAUAUUAGGGUCUAAUCAUCUCUAUUAAUUUAGAUAUUUCUAUUGUUUUUAAGUUGUUUAUAGUUGAUUUUGCAUUAAUUUAGUUUUUGACAAUUAAAGCUGCAUAAUUUCUCUUAUUUCUAUUUGUAGUAAAUGCAUCGAACAUAUCGAGAAGUUACACCUUUCGAUCCAAAAAUUGAGAGGACACUUUGUAGACAAAGGAGCGAUAUACCGCAUCAAGAGGAACAAGAGAUUUGACAGCCGAUAGAGGAAAUUUUGAAAGAGCUACCGUUUGAGGAAGAAAUGGCGGAAAACAAACCAAAUAGGCGAGUUUUACGAGAUUUUGCUUUACCGGGGACACAAAGAUCUCAAACUAGCAUUGCAAAACCAACGGUAAAUGCUAAUAAUUUUGAGAUUAAACCAUCACUGAUUCAAAUGGUUCAACAAUCUCAAUAUGGGGGUAAUGCAACCGAAGAUCCAAAUUCUCACUUGUUAACAUUUCUUGAAAUCUGUGAUACAAUUAAGUUUAAUGGUAUUAGUGAUGAUGCAAUUAAACUUCGAUUGUUUUCAUUUUCGCUAAGGGACAAGGCCAAGGUUUGGUUAUAAUCUCAUCCUUCAAAUACUUUUACUACUUGGGCUGAAUUAGCUAAGGCUUUUCUUAAUAAAUUCUUUCCACCUGGAAAAACUGCUAAACUUAGAAUGGAUAUAACUAGUUUCUCUCAACAGAAAGGAGAGACAUUGUAUGAAGGUUGGGAGCGCUAUCAGGAAUUACAACGAAGAUGUCCUCAUCAUGGUUUACCAGAUUGGCUUAUAGUGCAAACAUUUUGCAAUGGUCUCACUUAUCCAACAAAGACGCAUGUAGAUGCAGCAGCGGGAGAAGCAUUGAUGGAAAAAUCAGCCAAGGAAGCUCAACAAUUGAUUGAAGAAAUGGCCGCUAAUAACUACCAAUGGGCCAACGAACGAGGUAAUACAAGGAGAACCGUAGGUAUGCUUGAAGUAGAUACCUUAAAUAUGUUAAGUGCAAAGAUGGAUAAUGUGGUUAAGAUACUUAAUAGGCAUGUUGGUUCUAGCUCUAAUCAAGGAGUAGUUGUUACAUGUUCUACUACUUGCAGCGGAGAUCAUGAUGAUUCUAUGUGUUCUAGCAGCGAACAAGUUCAAUAUCUCAACAAUUACAACCGUCCACCCCAAAAUAAUCUAUACUCCAAUACCUACAAUCCAGGAUGACUUAAUCAUCCGAAUUUUGGAUGGAAGGAUCAAGGGAACCAACAAAAACCAGUUAAUCCACUGGAUUUUCAACCGAAGCAACCACUUCCAGAGUCCAAACCAGCUUGGGAAUUGACAAUUAAGAAGCUGGCAAAUGUAUCAAAUGAUAAAAUUGAAAAGUUAGCUAGUGUCACUACUCAACGAUUUGAAAGAAUUGAGGGAAUGAUGGACCAACUCACCAAUAUGUAUAGGAAUGUUGAGAUCCAAUUAGGGCAAAUAGCAAAUGCAGUUAACAAUCGCAACCAAGGGGAUUUACCUAGCAAGACUGAGGUGAACCCAAGGGAGCAUGUGAAGGCCAUAACCUCCGUAGUGGUAAGGAAGUAGGUGAGCCACCUGUAGUUGAAAGUGAGAGAAAAUAUGAAAGAAGAGAAAACAAGCAGUUGAGUGAGUUAGGAGAUGAUAACAAAACAAUUGAUGGGAAAGAAAAUGUGGAAGAGUGUGAGCCACAAAUUGAAGAGGCAACACUAAUUCCUCUACCGGUGCCAUUUCCUCAAAGAUUGAAACCUUCAAGAAAUGACAAAGAAUUUGAGAAGUUUGUUAACAUUUUCAAACAAUUACAUAUUAACAUUCCUUUUGUUGAUGUUAUUUUACAGAUUCCUUCAUAUGCAAAGUUUCUCAAAGAAAUAAUGACUAAGAAAAGGAGGUUAGUAGAUAGUGAAACAAUUUCAUUAACGGAAGAAUGUAGUGCCAUCAUACAAAAUAAAUUGCCACCAAAGUUGAAAGAUCCGGGGAGUUUCACAGUUCCUUGCACUAUCGAUAAUGUAGAAUUUUCUAAAGCACUACGUGACCUUGGUGUGAGUGUUUCAUUGAUCCCUUUAACUGUGACUAGGCAAUUGGGGUUGAAAGAGUUAAAACGUACUAACAUUUCCUUGCAAUUGGCUGACAAGUCUAUUAGACAUCCAAUGGGCAUUUUGGAGAAUAUGCUUAUUAAAGUGCAGAAAUUCAUUAUUCCUGUUGAUUUUAUUGUUUUAGAUAUGGAGGAAGAUGUCAAUGUACCUAUUAUACUUGGUAGACCAUUUCUGGCCACUGCAGAUACAAUAAUAGAUGUUAAAUGUGGUAAAUUUAAGUUCCAAAUUGGUGAAGAGGAAGUGGAGUUUGAUUUGAGUAAAGUGGAGAAGUAUCCCUCUUUUACUGACCAUAUUUAUUCUAUUGACAUAUGUGAUGAAUUAGCGUUAGAGAUAAGUCAAGUUAAUCUUGAUAAUGAUUCUCUUGAACUUUGUCUUAAUGAUGUAGGCUUACAAGAGGAACAAGUUGAAGAAAUGACUGAAUUUUUGCAGGUACAAAUUCCUUACAAAAGGAGAAAUGCGUAUGAGGAGUUAGGGCUGAGCAAAGGGCUACCUCCACCAUCGUGUGAGCAAGCUUCACGGCUUGAGCUUAAGCCACUCUCUAAACACUUCAAAUAUGCAUUUCUUGGAGAAAAUGAGACAUUGCCGGUGAUUGUCAAUACUGCACUAGAUGAGGAACAACUAGGAAAGCUUUUACGUGUUUUGAGGAAACAUUUAAAAGCUAUAGGAUGGACAACUUUUGAUAUCAAAGGAAUUAGUCCAACUAUUUGUAUACACAGGAUUUUGUUAGAAGAAAAUUCUAAGCCGGUGGUUGAAAUUCAAAGAAGGUUAAAUUCAAACAUGAAAGAAGUGAUAAGAGUACAAAUCCUUAAAUGGCUAGAUGCAGGUAUAAUUUUUCCAAUCUCUGAUAGUGUUUGAAUUUCUCCUAUUUAUGUAGUGCCAAAGAAAGGGGGGAUAAACAUAGUACGUGGUAAAAAUAAUGAAAUGAUUUCCUCUAGAGUUGUGGUUGGGUGACGAGUCUGUACUGAUUAUAGAAAACUGAAUGCAGCUACUAGAAAGGAUCAUUUCCCUCUUCCUUUUCUUGAUCAAAUGGUAGAAAGAUUGGCUGGAUAUGAAUUUUAUUGUUUCUUGGAUGGUUUUUCAGGAUACAAUCAAAUAGUCAUUGUACUGAAAGAUCAAGAUAAAACCACAUUCACUUGUCCUUACGGCACUUUUGCAUUUCGAAAAAUGCCUUUUUGAUUGUAUAAUGCACCGGCCACUUUCCAACAUUGCAUGAUGGCAAUUUUCUCUGAUUUUAAUGAGAAAAUCAUGGAAAUCUUCAUGGAUGAUUUUUCUGUAUUUGGAUCUACUUAUGAUCAUUGCCUUAACAAUUUAGAUCUAAUUUUGCAGAGAUAUGAAGAAACAAACCUUGUACUCAAUUGAAAAAAAUGUCACUUCAUGGUUUGUGAGGGUAUUGUUCUAGGGCACAAAAUUUCUUCACAAGGUAUUGAGAUAGAUCAAACCAAGAUAGAGGUUAUUGAGAGAAUGCCUCCACCUACCAAUGUGAAAGGCAUUCAAAACUUUCUUGGACACAUGGAAUUUUAUCGGCAGUUUAUUAAGGAUUUCUCCAAGAUUGCUAAACCUUUAUGUGAAUUACUUGCAAAAAAUAUUACUUUUCACUUUAAUGAUGAGUGUUUAUUUGCUUUUAAUAGGUUGAAAAAGGAACUUGUCUCCACAUCCAUAAUAGCAUCACCACCAGAUUGGAGCUUGCCAUUCGAAUUGAUGUGCGAUGCGAGUGAUUUUGCAGUUGGAGCUGUUCUUGGGUAAAAACAUGAUAAGCGACUUUAUGUCAUUUAUUAUGCAAGUAAAAUGCUAAAUGAAACCCAAGUCAACUAUGCAACAACAGAGAAGGAGUUGCUAGUAGUGAUAUUUGCAUUGGAUAAGUUUAGAUCGUAUUUAGUAGGAUCUAAAGUCAUCAUUUAUACCGACCAUGCAGCACUCAAGUAUCUCUUAAAUAAGAAAGAUGCAAAACCUGGACUAAUUCGAUGGAUUUUAUUAUUGCAGAAAUUUGAUUUGGAGAUCAAAGAUAAAAAAGGAUCCGAGAACUUAGUCGCUGAUCAUCUUUCUAGACUGAAAAACAUGCUUCAAGAAGACCAUUCAUCCAUUAAAGAAGAAUUUUCAGAUGAGUUUUUAAUGGCAAUUUAAAAGUCACCAUGGUAUGCUAAUUUAGUUAAUUUUGUAGUUAGUGGAGUGAUAUCAAGUGAUUUGAAUUCCCACCAAAGGAAAAAAUUCUUAAAUGAUGCUAAACAUUAUUUUUGGGAGGAACCAUUCUUUUAUAAACAUUGUGCAGAUGGAAUAAUUAGAAGAUGUGUUCCGGAAGAAGAGGUACACAGUAUUUUAAUACAUUGUCAUACCCUUGAAACGGGAGGUCAUUUUAGUACAACUAAAACCGUAGCAAAGGUAUGACAAUUUGAAUUUUACUGGCCUACUAUAUACCGAGAUGCUAGAAAUUGGGUUAAAAGUUGUAAUUAAUGCCAAAGAACUGGUAACAUCUCUAGAAAGGAUGAAAUGUCUCUAACUAAAUAUUUGGAAGUUGAACUAUUUGAUGUUUGGGGUAUUGAUUUUAUGGAACCAUUUCCUAGUUCUUUUAAUAAUAACUACAUCUUAGUAGCAGUGGAUUAUGUUUCUAAAUGGGUAGAGGCAAUUGUUUUCACCUACUAAUGACUCUAAGGUUGUACUCCGGUUUCUUAAAAAGAAUAUUAUUUGCAGAUUUGGUAUCCAAAAGACCAUAGUUAGUGAUGAAGAAAAAUAUUUUUGUAAUAAACACCUUCACUCAUUGUUUAAAUAUGGCUGCAGGUACAAGACAUCACUUCUGUACCAUCCUCAAGCCAACGGACAAGCGAAACUAGCUAAUAGAGAGAUAAAACUCAUUUUGGAGAAAACUGUAAUUGAAUCACGCAAAGAUUGGGCUACAAAGCUAGAUGAUGCACUAUGGACUUACCGACCGGCAUUUAAGACACCUUUAAGGAUGUCGCCGUAUCGUUUAGUCUAUGAAAAAACUUGUCACUUACCUGUAGAGAUUGAACAUAAAGCUUAUUGGGCUAUUAAAGCAAUUAACGUGAACUUUAAUCUUUCAGGUGGAAGGAGGCUACUUGAGUUAAGUGAAUUGGAGGAACACCGAUUACAUGCGUAUGAAAAUGCCAAAAUUUAUAAAGAGAAGAUCAAAUAUUGGCAUGAUAAAUAUAUUCUUCCUAAGCAUUUUGAAGAAGGGCAAAAGGUGUUAUUGUUUAACUUAAGACUUAAAUUGUUCCCUGGAAAGCUUAAGUCUCGAUGGUCCGGACCAUUUGAAAUAGCUCACACAUUUCCUUAUGGAGCGGUGGAAAUAAAAGGAGAAAAUGGUGCCCCAUUCAAAGUGAAUGAUCAAAGAUUGAAGCUCUAUUUGGCCGGAGAAAGGGUUCCUAAAGGAGUAAUUUACUCCUUAGGAAACACAAUGGAGAGUUAAGAAAACUGUAGGAGAGUCGAGUUUAACGAUUUUAAAUAAAGCGCUUGUUGGGAGGCAACCCAAUAAUAAUAUUGUAGUUGUGUGUUUUUAUGUGUUUCUUAAAUUUUGGUGUUAUUUGAUUGACUAAUUAUAUGUAUUUCACUUGUUGUAGGGGGUGCCGGCAUUUCAACUUCCAUAGGUGCACUUGAAGAACAAUAGUUAAAAGGGAAGUUUUCUUACCAAAUUCUGUUUUAAGUGUUUAAAAUUCCCUUUCAUGUAUAAUAUGUUGCAUUUCCAUUGUAUUCAAGUAAGUUUUAGUGAUAACAUGUUUAUACAUGUUCAUUGAUUCAUUUGAUGUGUAUCUCAUACCUAAGGGAGCCCUCUUAGUGUAAAAGUGCCAAAAUGAUCAAAGAAACUCACCCCUCGAUUUGCAAUGUAUAUGUGUUUGAUGUAUUUUGAGAGGUUGGAUAUUGUGUUUAUGGUAUAUUACACUUGCGUGAAAGGGUAGAAUUGAUAGAAAUUUCGUCCAAGGUGUAAUUUGGAAAUUGCCGAAAAAGGAGGAAAAAGUUUGAAAAAUUGCAAUUUCUGAAAUUGUUGCAGAAAAAGCCAGAUCCGAGCUCGAAUCCGUUAAAGAUUCAAAGACGAAAUUGGAGAUCCAACCUCGGAUCCGAAGUUGUUCACUAUGAUCCGAGGGCUCAUCUGUGUUUCUGGAAGGCCGGAUCCGAGCCUAUAGGAUCCGAGCCUUGGUAUACACGAUCCGACCUCGGAUUGUGUAUUCUUGAAAAAUUCAGCAUAGGGGAUCCGAACUAGGAUCCAACAAAAUCUAGUAGGAUCCGAGGGCUCGACUGAACUUCUGAAGUAGCGGAUCCGAGCCCUAUCGGAUCCGAGGGAUGCCAGAACCGAUCCGACCUCGGAUCUGUGCGCGAUAAAAACAAAUCCGAGGCUUCGGUUCUGCAUUUGUCCAAUUCUCCUUUUCCUAUUUCACCGAAAACCCUAGCCCUUUUUCACCAAUCUUCCAUUUCAUCCAAUAAUUAUUCAAUCUUUCACCACAAAAACAUCUCCCAACCUCUUGUGAUCAUAAACCCUCAACAAAUUCAUUUUAAAAACAUCAAUUUGGGGGGUUUUGAUCUUCAAAACGGGAAUUCAGGCCGCACUGAAAUCUCGCAAUUUGUGGUCGAAUUUGGGCUUGUUUCUUCAUCACUUUGCAUCAUUAUCAUCCUCCACCAUCAAUCUACACAUUUGAGGUAACAAUUUGCAAUUUUCUUUGAGAUUUUAUAAUUCCCAAUUUUACAUUUUUCUAGUUUUGGACAUAUUUUGGUAAUUGCUCAUAAGUUGAAAUUUUUUGAUACAAUUGUGCUACAUUGUGCUUAAAUAGAUUGUCACAACUAUUUUCAUGCUUAGUUUUGAGAGAAUUGUGAAUUUGGUAUUAUUUUGUAGAUUUUUCUUCUAAAAUUUUAGGUUAAUGCACAUGAACUCUUUAAUGAAUGAAAUUACUCCUCUAUGUGAACUACUUGCAUGCUUAAAAUUGAGAAAAUUGUUAUUAUAGUGAUAUUUUUGUAUAUUUUUCUCAAUUUUUAAGUUUAAGCAUGUUAAAUCUUUUGCUUGAAUAUUCCUUGUUCUUAGAGAUAAUUGGCAUUCAUUAAGAAGAAUUGGAGCUCAUUAGUUGGUACUUUGGUGAUAAUGUGUAUAGCCAAUUGGUGUGUAAUUGUUGGAUAAAAUCAUGAGAUAAUUGGCCCGUACAUUCUUGAAGUAAUGAAAUUGAUCUUUUAAGAGUCCUUUUUACUUUGAGAUUAUAUUCUAUUGAAAUAUGCAUCAAUUCUUAAGAGAUUGGACUUUUUAAUGAGAUUCUAAUUAAAAUAUGCUGUUCAAUUGUUGAAAGUGGAAUAUUCAAACAAUGUGUUGAGAUUGUAGAUUGAAAUUGAUAUCAUGCAUGUGCAAUGAGCUUGUGAAUUGGUUAAAUACGAUAUGGCCGUGAAUUUGUUGAUUGUUGGCAGGGAGUUUUUUCCUUUUAUUAGGGGAAACUCUGCCGAAAUUUUCCCAAAUCAUUUUUAAACAUUGUUGGUCGUGUAUUUUCAAGGGAUUUAGAAUUCUUCUAAUGUGUGUUUGAUCUUGUUUUUGAUAUAGGUACCAUGACUCGCACAAGACGAUCUCGUGUUCGCACUCCUUCACCUUCUUCAAGUGAAGAGCAUACUCCUUCAAUGCCUAAGGAGUCACCAGGGGAAGAAUCUCCUUCACCACAGUCGCCGCCACGCUUACGGCGUAAGAGAGCAUCUACGAGCCAUGAGAAGCUAGCUCUAGAUUAUGACACCACUCGUUUUAGACAAAGAGAUCAUAAUUGAAAAACACUUGGCCCCGGAGAUGGAUGACCACUCACUACAAGAAAAUUGUUCAUCAGUGACAACACAAAGUCAUCACAGAACAUACAAAUAUCGUCACAAAUACCUUUUAUUGACGACUUUUCGAUCGUCACAAAGUCGUCACUAAAUCCCCGUCGGUAAAAGUAAACAGUGACGACAUUUUAGGUAGAGCAUUUUUGACAAAAGAUCAAUUCGUCAAUAAAACACUUCCAGAUUGUCGUCACUAAUGACAACUAUUUAGUGACAACUAUUUGGUCGUCACUAAAUAGUUGUCAUUAGUGACGACAAUCUGGAAGUGUUUUAUUGACGAAUUGACCUUUUGUCAAAAAUGCUCUACUUAAAGUCGUCACUAAAAAGCACCGAAAGCCAUUGUAUAUAACUAUUUUACUGACAACAAUUGUCGUCACAAAUGUAACUUAGAUUUAGUGACAGUCUCUGUUGUGACAAGGAGUUUUUAUUUUCUAUUUUGUGACAACUUUUUUUUGUCAUUAGAUAAUUUCAUAAUAGCUUAAUAGUCAUAAUUUGGCCUGUAAUCAUUGCUAAAUCAUUGAUUUUGAACAAACCAUACAAAUAAACAUAAACGAUUGAUAACCAAAAGUAUUUGCAUUAGAUUACAUGGUAAUAAUAUAGCAUUCUCAAAUGCCAAAUUCAAGUGUACAUUGCCCAACUAAUGCCUACAAAAAUAACAUUUGUCCAAAAUAUCACUUGUACAUAAGGUACAUUUACAAAAGCAAUCACAGUUUAAGAAAUUGAAGAACAUCUAAAUGAACCACUCCAUGAGCAAAAGGCAAUUUUGUCUUCAACAUUCUUCAACCAUAACCAUAGAUAUCUUCCAAAAGCUAGUAUGAAUAGCAUUUAUCUGUCAUAAAAGAGUAAAAGAAGUAGGUAAGGGGAGGAGUACAAUAAUAAAGAACAAGUAAUGAGACUUAGAUUAUUAAGACAAAAAUUACAAUUCAUUAAGAAUCUCAUAUAAUUUGGGCCCACAUAUUACAACACCAGCAAGAAGUUAGAAAUCACAGUCCAAUCUAUACAAAUACAACACUGCAUAAGCUCAACUAAAGAGCUCUCUAAAACAGUUUUUUUUUAAUUUUCUUUCUUCUUCUUUAAAUAGCUCAACUUAUUGAACAAUUAAAUUGGACUCCCACAGUAAUUAUUGUUUAAUGUUUAUGCUUUUGGUUGUUUAUAUAUUAAAACUAGGUGAUUGCUUCCCACGCAAGGCAUGGGAACUUUAGACCUGUUAGUAAGGUUGUAUUUGUUAUUGUAAUAUUUUUAAUAUUUUAGAUGAUGAAAAGAGUGAUGUGAUGUGUAUCGUGAACUUGGGCUAGGAGUGAAAAGGAGUAUUAGUCAAAAAUAUAUUAGUUCCAAGAGUAGUCAUGUACUAAUACAAAGGAUACAGCCAAUGCAGUAAUGAUGAUUCACAAGAAAAAGGAAAGCAUGAUAUUUACAUAUACAACAGUAAUUUAGUAUAGAUGAUUCAAAAGAAAGAGGCUCCUUUGACGUUCAAAUACAUUCCAUUAUCAUGUAACAACAACUCAGAUGACAAUGAAAUAAAUUCACAAGUACCAAUCACUUGGUCAUUACUGCAGUAACAGUUAAUGGAAGUAGCAAGAUAUUGCUACAACUUGGUCACAUGCAAAUUUUUUUUUUGUUCUGGGUUCACAAGGAAUGAAUUCAUAAAUUAUGAAGCAGCAAAAUAAAUUCACAAGUACCAAUCACUUGGUCAUUACCACAGCAACAGUUUCAAUACCAACAGUUUCAACUUUCUUGAGACAAUCAAGUUGCAUCUUAAGUUUGCAAAAUAUCAAGUUUUACAUGUCCAUUAAAAAUUUUAAAAAGUACCUUUGCUUUCAUCACCACCUUUCCGGCUUAGGAUACCUCCUUGAACACCACCCCCAUAAAGCCACUGCUUCAUCUGGUUUUACACUCUUGUUGGGUUCCUUUCCAUCAAAGUAGUCCUUGAGAAGUUAUUGGACUUUUGGGAUCCUGGUAGCCCCACUAACAGGAACAAUUUCAUGCAUCUGGUGGUUCUCCAAACCAGCAUCCCCCAUAGCCUUCUUGACAAGUCCCAUGUUUUUGCUAAAGAGGUCAUUGUUCAACUCGUCAAAUCAAGCAUGAGUCUUAACUUGCUGCUGGCUGCUUAAAGCUCUUUUGGCACGGUCAGCUUCCCUCAGUUUUCCAAGUGGUCUGUUGUGGUUGCUGAUGUUCUUUCCAUGUUUCUUGUUAAUCAACUUGAUGAAAUAUUCUAUAAUCCUUUGAUGAAAGCCUUUGCCUACAAUAAAACAGAGCAAUUAGAACCAUAUGAAAGCUUUUUAUAAGAAAUGUAACUAAUAAAACUUAUACAAGAAAUUGGUUGCUUUAAUUAGUGUAGUUAGAUAAACUUUUUUAAUUCGUAGUUAGACAGGCAACUGCUGCUGCUCUGGGUUCAUUGAUAGUCCUAGCAACAUUCAGCCCAGCAAUAAUACCUGCAUUCUUUGUUGCCUGCCUCUGGGCAUCACUGAAGUAAAAUAUGAUUCAACGAGUAACUCUAGAAAUUGAACUAUACCGGGAACAGUUACCACAGCAUCCUUAAUUUUCUUUGCAAGGAAAGCUUCAGCUGCUUCUUUCAUCUUAGUUAAAACCAUUACACUAAUUUCCUCAAGACUGAAGACUUUAACCUUACUAUCCUUAAUUUUCACCUAGAUAUAAGGUUUUCCAUCCUUGUUCACAAUCUUACAAGGAACGAGCUUCAUAUCCCUCUAAACUUCAUUAGUCUCAAUCCUGUUAUAUAACAGUUAAGACUUCAGUGAGCAUAUGUAUACACACCAAAAUGUUCCAGCAAAAAUGAUAAAUACACGAGUGUGCCUUACUUUCAUCCAAUAAAUCUCUUGACAUCAAAGAUAGUUCUUUCAACAUUAACAUCGAAUCAGUCUUUCGCUACCAGCAAAUGCAAUCCAUGAUGGCUUAAUACGAUUCCUUGGUCAUUUGCUGUGAUUUCAACAUGACCAUUUUUGUAAAUAUGAGCACAUGAAUAGGUAGUUCCAAGAUCUAUUCCAAUGACUAUUCCCAAUUUUGCAGCUUAUUCUUUGGUGAUGGAAAUUGUAGAUAGACAGCCUUUUGCACCGAAAAAUAUUAUUGGAAAAAGUAAAACUCUUAUGUAUAGUUUUUGAGAGAAAAAAACUAAAACACUGCAGGAUGAAGCAAUUCCACACUCAUGAUGAAAUCCACAAUUACUCGAGCAACCGUGGGAUUGAAGAGUUCGAAGAGCUUGCUCAAACAUUGUGGUGACCAUCCCAAGAACAAGUGGAAAAAAUAAGAACUCAUUUAAUUUCAAGAAAAUGAAAUGAACAUCAAGUAUCAAACUAACAAACAGUGCAGGAACAGAAGAAGGAUAUGAACUGCGAAGAACAAUCUGAUAGAUAGCCUAGUGGUUAAUGGUUUUUUUUCCCAUCUCCCUUUUUUCUUCCUUCCCAAUCCUUCCUUGCUAAAAAAUGGCUUUGAAAGUAUCAAAUAGUACCUAUCAAAUUAGCGAACUGAGUUAGUUUAAAGAAGAUCCUAUAAUAGUUAUUCUAAAAAUCUUUAGUCACUUGCUACGUGAGGAGGGCGUGGCAGAUAAUAACUCUUUGUUUUUUGGCUCAUUUCGAAUUGAUAUACUUUUUGGCUUAAUUGGAGAGAACUAAUUUGAAUCAUUUCCAACCAGUUUACAGAUAAAAAAAAUUUCAUUUAUGAAAAUGAAAUAGAAAAAAUAAUAGCACAAAAACAAUGAAAAUAGACAUCAAUGGCUAGUAAAAAAAAGGUGUUCUUUUAUCAUUGAAAAUUAGGCCAAUGCUGAUCAAUGAGCUAUAGUUGUUUGACUAUCAACAGACAUAAUAUCAAGAAAUUACGAGAGCUUUUUUUGCUGUAACAUCAACAGGCAUAAUAUCAGAUGUGUAAUCUUGUUUUACCAGAGUUUCUGCCUAUACAGUGAUAAUCUAGCACAUUAACAGGCAAAAACAAUAAUCAGGCAGACAGUCACUGAAUCGAAUAAUCAGGUAGCUUAUUUUCAUUGAGCACCACCUUGCCAUCAGAUGAUUUUCAUGAAUCACUUAUCAGCAUCUUUGACUACAAGAAUUAGUACCUUUUAAUAGAUCAGCAGAAAGCCGCAAGAUUUUUCCAAACUUUAUCAACCACGCUGCAUAUCACAUGAUAUUAUUCCCAUUCAAUUGUUGAUGGAGGCUUGGAAGUAAUAUCUUGAACAACUCGAUUUACACCACAUACACUAUUGCAUAUCUUUCUUGCAACAACAUCAAGGAAAUUGUGUUCAAAAUUGUACCAGUCAGCAGUCAUCCCAUCUUGAUUUGUGACAGCUCUCAAUGCAACAACAUGAGAAUGUGUUCUUUGAUCACCUUGAACUCCAACAGACCUUAUGGGCAAGAAAACAGCAAAAGCUUGCUAUAUUUUAAAAAAAACAACCAAACCAAAUCAAACCAACCUUUACUAAUGAUUCUAAGAAAAACCCACUUCAAUUUUGCCAAGAAACAAAUUGCAAAACAAAUGAUACAGGAAAAGAAACAUCCAACUUCAUAAAACUAAACAAAAAAGCCAUAGAAAACAACAGAAAACGUAAAUGGAGUUUGAAAGUGAUAUUCUUAGAGGGGUUCAAAUGCAACUAAAUAGGGACUUAACUGAAUGAAUUAUGGAUGUUUUAGGGUCGAAUUAAGUUCAGGAACUCUGGGGCUAAAUUACAAAAAAGAAAAUGGAAUGACCGGAAUUGCAAAUUUAAGCAAACGAUCGUCUUCCCCAAGCAGAUUAGGCAUCAAUCUUCUAUUUAGACCUUCACUCGGGCAUUUUAACAAACAGUACAUGGGCAUAGAAGGAUCCAGCAAUUUUUGCUCAAUUGGGACUGUAAUUAGCCCCCCAAAAUUUGUCAAAACACAAGAGAUUUCAGUCCAAACAACAUACAAUAGCAUACAAUCUAAAAUCGUUAGCAAUCAACAUGAAGUUGGCACUGAACAAACGCACGGCAAACAUGCUUUGAGACUUUUCAAUGUUCAUACUAAAAAUGGAAAACUAAAAUUCAAAGAAGGCAGACCGCUUAUAGCGUUUGCUUGGCGAAGUCUGCAGGCGAUGGUGAUGGUCGAAGGAAGGUGCGAAUGAUCAGGCGGCUAUAGCUGCCAUGGUAGCCACGCUGGAGCUGGGCGCCAGUGGUGGGUGGCAACAUGAAAUCGAGGAGCGACAGUGAGAGAGAAAGGUCGUGCGGGAAGGGGAGAUGCGUCAGGCAGCUAGGCGGCGCACGAAAUGGAGGUGCCGUGGCGGAACUUGGAGGCGUCGGAAAUUGGAUGAGAGCAGAGUGACGGCAGCUAUGGAGAUUGCGCUCUGUGAUGGCCGAUGAGCGGCUGUUGCUCUGUAUUUUCUUUGUGUCCCCUCUAGGCCAAGACCUUUCUCUGUUUCUGGUUUCACUUCCUCAAUCACCAGCCCCCAAAUGAAACUUUAGUCUUUUCCUUCGUUCCCCUGCCGACGACCCCUUUUCUUCCUUGACAGCUAAAAGAUUUUGGGCAGAAAUUUGCAAAAAAUAUUGUAGAAUAUUAGGGAUUUGGAAAAAUUGGGGAAAAUGUAUAGGAGAGAGAAAAAUGAACCUUUCCAAUGAAAACCUUGCCCUUUAAUGCUGGACAGCCAUGGUGAUGCUAGUGAGAAGCCAGAGAACGGAUUUGUUGUGUGGGUGAAGGUAUCAGGUGCCGUGUGGAAGCUCUGUUUUGUGCUCAGUGCAGAAGCUUGUUUGUUUCAGCUCGGUGAAAGUUUGUGUUGCUCAAGUGUUCCGUUGCUUUAACUCAGACCAAGUGUUCCGUUGCUUUUCUUUUCAGAAUGUGUUCCGCUGCUUUGGUCUUUGCUUUGCUUUGGAUAUUGUUUUUGUUGCGCGGCACUUUCACUAUGAUUUGAUCAAAAUUUUGACUUCACUCAUUUUCCCUCCAUUUGAUACCAAAAUUCAUGUUUUUUUCUGGAUUUGUAAUAUGGUUUGAACCAUAGAUUUUAAUGCUAUAGUAUUAUUCUUUAUUUUUUAGCAAAAAAUAAAAAUUUUCAUCAACAUAGGUGGCAAAAUUUGUUAAUUUCAUAUAAUUGAAAAUGUACUUUUAUAAUUUGCUAAUAUUUUAUACUAAUUUCUUAUAAUUGCAGCACUAAAGAACAUCAUGUAAUUCAAAAUAAUUAAACUCAAAUUAUAUCGUUAUAACAUAGUUUCAAUAAAAAUAAUCAUUUUCCCAACAUUUGAGACCAAUCAUCAUGCUUUUUUUAUUUUUAAUUUGGUUUGAAGCAUAGAUUUUAUUGCUAUAGUAUUAUUCUUUAUUUUUUAGUACAAAAACACAAAUUUUCAUCAAUAUAGGUGGCAAAAUUUGUUAAUUACAUAUAAGUGAAAAUAUACUUUUAUAAUUUGCAAAUAUUUUAGCCCUGCAAUUUUUUAUAAUUGCAGCACUAAAGUACAUCAUUAAUUGAAAAUAACGAAAGUCAAAUUCUAUGGUUAUAACAGACUUUCAUUAAAAAUAAUCAAAUGCUAUUAAUAAGACAUUAUUGUUAAGUCAAAAUCAAAGAAAAUUUAGUGAUGACAUAAUGUUAUCACUAAUUUAUUCAAGAUUAUAAUGACAAGAAAAGUCGUCACUAAUUAAAUUGCUAGUUUUUAAUAUUGUCAAUUGCUAGUUUUUAAUACUUUUGUGAAAAUACUGAUAAUGGUUGAGAAAAUUUUGUUACAUUACUGCAAGUGAUAAAUGUACUUUUGUUCUUUUUCAAACAUUUAUUUUAAUGUUUAAUUUUGUUUAAAACUAUUGUACUAGUAUAGAUUUGCAAAACAAAACUUAAGUUCUCAAUAGUUAAAAAAUUCAUUACAGAGAAAACACAAAGUAGUAGUUGCAAAAUGUGUAUAAAUUACAGAUAUUUUAAUGUGUAUAAAUUACAGUUUAUUUUAAUAUUUAAUUUUGUUUGAAACUAUUUUACUAGUAUAGAUUUGCAAGACAUAGAUUUAUGGGUAAUUUUUUUUUUUUGCUUUCACAUAUUUAAUUUAUGUUAAAUACAAAACCUACCAGUUUCCCUUUCAUAAAAAUAUUAGUGCAACACUUUUUGAAUUUUACUUACAAACAUUUAUGUAUUUAACGUAAAUUAAAUGAUUCAGAGUGAAAUGCCCAUAAAGAGCAGAAUAUUUAUUCAUGUAAUGGAGGAAACCCACAAGGAGUUGGUACUUUAUGGGCCAUUUCUUUUUUUAAAAAAAUUUAAUUUAUGUUGAAAAGAUAACCUGCCAGUUUUCGUUUUGUAAGAAAUCAGUGUAAUACUUUUUGAAUUUUACUUACAAACAUUUAUAAAUUUAUCAUAAAUUAUAUGUUUGAGAGUAAAAUGCCCGUAAAAAGUUGGUACUUUAAAUAGAUAAUGCUCAUUUGCCCAUAAACUACACUCCCUAAAGGCUAUUUUGUUAAUUAUUUUGUAGUACUUUGUUAUUCCUUUGCUAAUACUACUUGGCAUGUAGUACAAAGGAUAAAUCUGGCAUAAAUUUCUUAUUCCAUUGAUAAAAAGACCUGCCUGCCUUAUAACUAUUGUAAUGAAAGAUAUAUCUUUAGAGUUUAUAACAAAUUAUUACUUAAGUUUGAGAAAAUUAUAAAAUAUUUAUGCAUAGUUUAUCAAGAUACCAUUCGCAAUUUCCUAAUAAAAAAAUAGGGGCUAAAUUGUAAAAGCUAGGGUGCCAUAAUAGAAAUAAUAAAAUUGGUGUAUUACAUAUGGGGGUUAAAUUGCAAAAGUUAGAGUGCCAUAGUAGAAUUAAUAAAAUUGAAUUAAUAAAAUUGGUGAAUUACAUAUGGGGCUAAAUUACAAAAAUUAGGGAGUAAUAAUAGAAUUAAAGAAAUCGGUGCACUACAUAUGGGGCUAAAUUGUAAAAGUUAAGGUAUCAUAAUCGAAUUAAUGGAAUUUUUUACAACAUUUGGGGCUAAAUCGCAAAAGUUAGGGUGGCACAGUAGAAUUACAGAAAGUGACUUAGAAAUAAGUACUUUAAACAGUGACGAUUAAUUCUUGUCACUAAAUCCAAAUCGGUAGAGUGACAGUGACGAUAUUAGAAGUUGUCACUAUAUAGAUCAUUUUAGUGACAACUUUUUCAAGGUCGUCACUGAACACUUAGUUGCUUUGAGCAAUUAUGACAACUUUCCUUGUCGUCACUAAACAAUCACGUUUUGUGACGAAUUUUGUCGUCACUAAAAAAUGUUGUCACUAAUGACCAUAUUUCUUGCAGUGUAGUUUGUGACGAAAAUAACGGGUCGUCACUAAACAUUUAGUUGCUUUGAUGCAAUUAUGACAACUUUAGGUGUCGCGACUAAAGAAGCUCCUUUUGUGACGACUUAUUGUCAUCACUAAAAAAUGUUGUCACUAAUAAAUUUUUUUUUUAGUGAUCAGUGACGACAACAAAAAGUCGUCCGUAAAUAGGCCAAGCAAUAGUGAUGAUGUUCUUAAUGUCGUCACUAUUGUGUGUUCUAAACACUCCCGCGCUCUUGCUAAAACUUGGCGGGAAUUUACUAAGUCGUCACAAAUGGGUUGGCUCCCAUUAGAGGUUUGUGACGAGUUAGAAAUUCGUUAAUAAAUGAUCCACUUUUGUGACAACUUUUUUUCGUCACAGAGAAAAGUUGUCACUGAUGACCAAUUUUCUUGUAGUGACUACAAGAUCUCCACGGCAUUCAAGUGACUUAGAUGGGAGACUAUACUAAAUUUGCCGAAGCAUUACUAUCCCAAUCUGGUCCGGGAGUUCUACGCCAAUGUGGAAGACAAAUAGAGCCACAGUGGCAACCUUAUCAUCUCCUGGGUUCGAGGCAAGAGAGUGGCUCUCACUCGACAUACAAUCACCCAAAUCGUCAAACUAAAGGACAAUGGAGAAGAUGUUAAAUUGACUAAGGAAUUUAAGGCACGUGAUCCAUGGCAAGUCGGAGAAACUGUGGCACGUCUUAAGGGUCAAUAUCGGGAGUGAGGAAGUUCGAAGAAGCUCAUUGUAUACGCCGAUUCCUUUGAGCAUAGGUACCACCUGAUCUUCUAUCUCUUCGCCUUCAAUGUGGUACCAAAAAGGAGUGGAAAAAGGGAGCUCCGAAACGGUGACUUGUAUUUCCUCGAUAAUAUGAUGCAUGGUGUAGGUAGGCUGCUGACUGGUAUUCCUCUGGCCAGCAUCAUCAUCAGUUACAUGCGUACUACAGCUUGCAUGAGAGCCGACGAAACUUGCUUUGGGUUCCCUCGUUUGCUCUCCCUUAUUUUUAAGCAACUCAAGGUUCCUCUGGGAACCGAGUGAGCCAUUGUUACUAGGGCAGCCGAGGAAGUCAACGGCUCAGUACUUAGGUCCUUAGGUAUUCCUACGGAUUUUGGAGCUUCUCUGGUACAGGAUGUUGGAGAAGCAUCGACUUCAGCUUAGCCUCCAGCUCACACUGAACCACACCAGGAAGCUCAAGAGAUGGAGGCAUAGCAGACUCUCCCUCCUCCCAUUCCACGACCACCCCCUCCGCAAUGAUCCAAGUGGCAAGAGGCCCUCAAUGCCAUAUGCUGUAUGGAGACACGAGUCAUCAAGCGCAUUGAUCAGACGGAGCGGCUGAUGACGGAGCGACUAGACAGGCAUGAUCGCCAUCUUCGAGCGAUCGAGGAUCAUUUCCACAUUCGCCGCUCCCCUACACCGAUUCCUAAGCCAAGGCCCGAUGAGGGCAUGCAGAUCGUGAGGAGGGUGGCAGCAAUGCAGAUCAUGAGUUGGGCGGCAGCACUGAAGCGACUGAGCUUGGCGUCUCCUCUGCAUAAUUUACUUUCUUUUCAGCUUUUAUUUAGUUUUUCAUCUUUUAUUUUCGAUUUGGUGUUAACUUUUUGUUAUUUUUCUAUUUUUCUUAAAACUUGUGGAAUGGUCUCACUCUCUAUGGAUAUAUAUUUUUCCCUUCAUACAGAAUUUGGCUAGUAGAAUUUGGAUGAUCGUGAUGAUCGUGGUUUCAAAUUGCAUCACUACUUCUUUUGAGAGGAGUAUUAGUUUCUUUUACCUUCCUCUACAAUGAGGACAUUGUGAAUUUUAAGUGUGGGGGAGGGAUUACUUUAUCUUAUGGGGUGAUUGUGUUUUGAAGUGCAUGAUUUUAGUUAUUUAUGGCCUAGAAAUGUUGGAAUCAUAUUUGGAAAUAUUGUCAUGAAGAUAAUUUUCUUGAAAUUGAGGCUGUUGGCAGGGAGUUUUAUCCAUAUAUAUGGGGAAACUCUGUCAAAAUUUUUCUAAAAUAUUUUCCAAUAUUUCAUUGCAAUUCUUUCCAAUAAUGGCCGAAAUGUUCAAUUUUAAAUGUCUAAUUCUUCCAUUGGAUAAAAUGUUAUAUAUAUUUUGGAAAGUUUAGUCCUUAUUUGACUUGGCAUUAGUCAUUAUGCAAUUAGGAUUUUACAUUUUAGAAAGUAUAUUCGGUUAAAUAAGGAAAAUUAUGCUUAGAAUUUUGCAGGUUUAAUGAUAUUUCUCAUUUUUACUUAAUUUUAUAAGUAAGUGAUUGAUAUAGUCAAAACAAGGCCAGAUUCAUCCUUUAAUUAUGCUCAGAGGGAAAUUGAUUAUUAAAAAAAAAAAUUCUACUCCAAUGAUUCGCAUACUGAGUAACCGGGGGUUAGCAUUUACAAAUGUCGACAUUCGCGUAAAAAGGUAUUGGAAUUAAAAGUAUGCCUAGCAAUUUAAAUGAGUGAAAUGUUGAGUAACCGGGAAUCUUCACCUAAAAGUGUAGAUUUUCACGUAAAAAGGCAUUGUCACUAUUUAAGUAAAAUGAAGUAUAAAAAAUCCCUCUCAGUUAUGAAAAUUUUGAUGGAUAUAUGAUGAGAAAUGCCAUAGAAUUGACUAUGUGAUUUACUUAUUUGUGAAAUUAGGAUAGGAUGAGAGAUUGAGUUGAAAUUGUUAAAAUUAAGGUAUAAUUAUCUUUAUUUAACUUGAUAUUAUGAGUAUUUAGUGUAAUCUGAGAAUUGGUAUAAUGAUUGGUUUCUAGGUUUUGAGGAACUAAAAUUGACAAAAGUACGUAUAUUAUUUUAUCUCUUGAAUCAUUGUAGUAAGUUAUGUGUAAAAUUGCUUGAGGACAAGCAACGAUUCAAGUGUGGGGGAAUUUGAAAGAGAAUAUUUAACGUACAUUUUGUACAAGUUUGGCAUGAACUUUUGGUAUGUUUUGAGAAGAUUAAAACCAUAUUUGCACUCUUUUGGUGAUAAAUAUUUAAAUAUUGUUUAAGUGUUCAAAACUUGAUAAAUGAGUGGAUUAAUACGUUAAUUUUGUGAAAUUGUGAAGGAUAUUGAUAUAUGAAAUUCAUGCACGAGAUGAAGGAAAUGUAAGGAUCGUCCAGAGGAUAAAGUACAAAAGAAACUAGGAGCAAAAGUGAAGAAAAAGGAAAGAAGUGAAAAACUGGAAAUUGAUUAGCACGGAUCCGAGUUUGGAUCCGUGUGAACAAAGGGCGAUUCGAGCCCUCGUCUGUACUUCUGGAGCAGUGCAUCCAAGGCCAGACGAUCCAAGCUCGGAUCAUUAAGAGAAAGGCCUCGGAUCAGUCUUGAUCCGAGCUCGGAUCGUAGUGCACACCUCGGAUCCAAGGCUCGGAUCUACCUCUCUCUUCUGCAAGUGGCACAGCCAUUUUUUCUCAUUUUUCACACAACUUUUCAGCUAUCUUGGGUGAGAGAAUUCGGUGGCACAUGUUUCUGCAACAAAAAGGAAGACAAAAUGAGUUAUUGACAAGUCAAAACAACAUUUCUUUUGACUUUCUUUACAAAAUCUGAGUUGUUGGAAUCAUGAAGGAGAAGAAAGUGCCUUUCUACCACCUUUUAUGCAGAGAACCAAGAAGUCAGGCAUCACCAUAUGGAAGGAGUUUUUCAUCUUGUAACAUUUUUCUCUCUAGCUAGAAGUUCUAAAAACAAGCACUUGGAGAUUUCACUUGUAAUUAUCUUGUACAAGACAUAGCAGAAAUUUGAGGGUUUCAUCAUUAAUUGGCUACGCUUUUCUUUAUCUUUCUUGUACUUGUACUUUAUGAUGUUUUGCAUUAAUAAACUUGUGAGUUUGAUUGUUAUAUCAUUCAUGAGUAGCUAAAUUUCUUUAUCUAGAGAGUAGAUGAAACUUAUGGCUAAAUGAUAUGAAUUGAAUGUGAUUUAAACUUGUUAUAUCUUGUAUUAACUUGUCUAUUUGUGCAGUUGUAAUUACUUGUUGUUGUUUGAUCACCAAUAGCAUGUUUAUAGUUGUUAUUAAUCAAUGAGAAUUGGUAGUAACAAUGGAAAAAACAUGAGUAGAGCUUGAGUUGUAUGUUCAUGAAAAUAGAUGUACACUUAAGUGGAUUAGCUAGCAUUUCAUGAAGGAAAACAGAGUAGAACUAGUAUUUCACCAUGAAAAUAGGGAAAACUGGAUUGCUCUAGGCCAUUUUAUCAUGAGAAUGAGAUUUGGUAAUAUUGGAAAUGAAUCCCUGGUUAAACAACAAUAAUAACAAGAGAAAUUUAUUCAUUUGUGUUGUUUAUGCCAUAAGUGGAAUCUACAUCCCUAAAUUUAUUCUUGAGUGAAAUUUAUCCAUUUGCAUUUAGCAUUUGUUAAACUAGAUUUAUAGACAAUAGCAUUAUAAUUUCUCUACUCAAAUUCAUUUAUAAGUCUAAAUAAUAGAGAAAAUAAGGGUUUAGUACUUGUUUAAAUUGCUCCUCGUGGGAUCGACUCGAUAUAUACCUUACAUUAUGAUUUCGGCCUGUAUACUUGCAGGCAACGGGUAUAAAAUCGGAUUUAAACUUACAUUGAUAUAAAAAUCCCGUCACAUAUGUGAGAUCAAAUUAUUUUACUUAUUUCUUUUAUUCAUUGGUAUUUGUACAUUUUCUGAUUUAACUUCAUAUACUUGUUAUGUUAUUUGAAUGUCAAGGGCCCGAUAUUCGAAUUAACCUAAUAAUCUACUGUUAGAUUAAUUGAUUGAAUCCCUAAUUGUUCAAUUGAUUAAUACCAGUGGCAACUAGCGUGAUUGGUUUCAUGUUAGGGAAACGUAUGAUCUAACUUAAACGAACCCUCGUAGCGUGUUUGUUAAUUAAGGUUGGCUUUUCUAAUUCUUAUUGCAAUUGAGAAAUUAAAUCCUAUAGUCGUACCUAGGGUUAUUUUUUGGUUAGGAAAAUAGUUAAUGGUCGUACCUUGACUAUCGAAAAAGUAAGAAAAAGUUGGUUGUUUAUCGCGUGUAUAACAACUAUAACCAAUCUAUUAAUUAGUAAUUGAAUUAUCUUUGCAUCGAUGAUCAGUUGAAAGGACCAUGUCUGAAAAGUUGCACCUUUGGCUAGAGUUGUAUUGGUUAUUGAUUAAUUCCUGUUGAUUUCUAUUAGUUGUUUCAUUAGUUGAUUAAUUAGUUAUUUUAUAUUUUUCAAAAACCCCCCAUACUUCGGACUCUGGAAGAAAUGAAUUAUCCCCAGUCCCUGUGGAUUCGACCCUACUCACCGCUAUAUACAAAUUUGUAUUUUUCUUGAGUAGGUAAUUAUUAUUGCACAUGUUCAACACCUGUCAUUCUAUAACUGUAUACAGAGUCAUCUUUUUCAAAGAUUUCCCAUGCUGCAAAAUGUACUCUACGAGCUUUAUUUCAUCUUCCUCCCCUAUAAAUUGUCUGAUUCCAAUAUGCCUAAGAUGUUCAACAAAGCGUAAUGGGAAAACUAUUUGGAAAUGUAGAUUCCAGGUCCUUGUAUAUGCAAAGUCCUUCUUACACAACUUUACAUAUUGAGAAGAUCAAAAAUUGCAAAACAUAAUAAUACUUGAAAUUAGUGAGAAUAUAUCCAAAAGAAACAAAAUAUUAAUACCUGAAAUCAGGUUUUACAAUCUGUGCACAAAAAGCACCUAAACCCAAAUGGCCCAUGUUGGAAUAGACCAAGUUUAGUUCAACUGCAGAAAUUCCUAGUACAAUGGAACUGCAACUUCAACUUCAGUAAAUUGCAAGCUGAUAUUAUGAUUCUAUAAAUCCUAAAAUCUCCCCCAAGUCCUCUUGCCUCCAGCACAAAGUAUGUACAUAGAUGCUGACCUGUUCUAUACACUUGUAGGUAAAUUCAAAUCAGACGGCAUUCAAUAGAACUGCCUUGAUUUGGCUGCAUAUUAGCACUACUGCUCUUUAAAUCUAACUUGAUUAAGCUGCACAAAAAGGGAAGAUUACAUUCGAUGGAGAAAUUUUACUGAUUGCAGAUGAAAUAGGGGCUAAAAUCAACUAGGAAAAGCAGAGAAGUUAACCUCAACCGACGAGGAAACAAGAUGCAAAAGUCAGAAGUUGUUAGCUUAAACCUCAACCGAAAGAAAAAUGCAAUCUUUGAUAUUAAACACAUAACCCACAUAAGUUAGCUUCACAGAGUCCAGAAGGAUGGUUGGAACUCAAUUUUCCUAAAAUUGUGAGGAAAAUAAUGCAAUCUUAGAAAUCUAACACAAAUAAUGGUAAUAAAAACACACAAGAAGGGUAUGAAAACUUACAAAAUGGCGCCAAAAUAUAGAUCUAACAAUAUUUGAAGCAAAUGGAUGAAGCAUUGAAGUUGUUCUAAGAUUUUUGGGCAGCAAUAAAACCUAAGCUCCUUCACGUUUAGCAAUUCUUAGGAGAUAGACAGGAGGCGGGUCUUCUUUUUUAGCAAUUCCUCAGAGGUCUCCUUCCCGUUUAGCAAUUCCCGCAUAUGUUCUUCUAUUUUUGGACUAAAAACCACCGAUGUUGGCCUUUGAGAGAAGAACAGAUGCGUGCUUCUCAAUUGACAGAGACAAGAGAGGACCAACCUUUCUAUGUAUAUAUCCCUCAGCCUCUAACAAGCCUUUGAAUUUUGAUGGAAGGACGUUGCGGGAAAAAUAAAAUUCUUGGAGGGAAUAAAACGCGCGUCCUAAAUUCUGAUUUAAGUUUUGUUGUUAAAAGUUUCUAAGAAUUGAAGUAUAUUAUAAUAUAUAUAGAAUAAAUAUUGAGUAUUAGAAGUAUAUAAUUUGAAAGAAAUCAUGUGAGGACUCGAAAAUUUUUAUUAUUUUAAAAUCCCUAAUUUUGGCUCAAUUAAUUAAUUAUUUGGAUUUUUAUCACGAAUAAUAUUUUCUAGCCUUAUUAGACCGAAGUACAUGGUUUUAUAGAUUCGUUAUAUUUUUAAAGCACCUCAUUUCAAAAAAUUAUUAUUUUUUUUAAAAAGCUUGUUUAGCGGAAAAGUGAAAACGUGUCUAAACACUUUAGCCAAUUGGGAGUACAAUAAGCUCAAAAUUUGAGACCUAUACAAUGGUCCUAAAAUAGACAAUUUUAGGUUUAAUUAUACAAGUGAUAGCUAGUGGUACAAUCGUUAUAAGAAUUUUUCAAAGGUUUCAAUUUUUAUUGCGCCUAAAUUAGAAAUACGUGUUUGCACGUGCGCGCUUAAUUGAGGGACUUUGGACCAUUAUUUUGGGACAAUUAAGAAUGGAUAAUAUUUAUAUAAAUGUAAGUACCCUAGAGGUUUAGUGCACUAGUGCAACAAACGUAAGAGAAAUCGAACACAAAACGCGCGCGUAGGGUACUAGUUAUAAUUGAUUUGACGUAUUAAAAGAUUUGACGUCAAGCGUCUUUCGUACGCAAAGGCUUCAGAACCGCAGCUUCAUUUCAAUCUCAUUUCAUUUCUGCAAAGCUUCAUGGACGGCUAGACAGCAAGAGACAACCGAGGCUUCACCAUUUCUUUCUUCCAAAACUCAUCCAAAUCCUUACCAAAACUUCCAUAGAUUCUUACCAAUCUCCACAUUCAUUUAGCUUUUCACUUGGACGGCAACUUAGCUGCAAAAGGAAGGAGCUAUCCACGGUUUCUUCAAGCUUCAAAGGGGCCGAAAAAUCUGUCCAAACCAGUCAUCAAAGUAGGUACUAAUCAAGCACCUUGAACUUGUCUUAUGGAAGUUGAUCUAUGCAUUUGAGUUGGAAUCUUCACUAUAGUAGCUUGUAUUGUUGGAAACGUGGGCUCUAUGAACUCCCACUUUGGGUUGAUGGCUGUGAUGAUGUUUGAUGAUGGUUUUAUUGCUGAAUUAGAGCUUAAGGAAGUAGAUUAAAGGUGUAUUGUGGACAGAAACGUUGUUGAACUCUUGAAGUAAAAAGUUCCCAUUUUACCCCUGUUCUGUUCGGUCAUUUUAAUGCAGAAACUGAGGAUUUAAUGGCCUGAUUAUGUUGAUUACAUGUUGCAAAAGUUGUGUACAAAAUUUCGUUGGAAAAUAUUGAGUUGUGGUUGAUCAAACGAAUUUAUUUCAAAAACUAGUAAUCUGGAAAACGGUUUCGCCGUAAUCCAGACCAGUGUUUGUAUUUCGUCCAUAACUCCGUACUCCGACUUCGAAAUCAAGUGCCGUUAGCGGCAUUUGAAACUAGACGUUCCCAUGUUUCCAACGGUGUAUAAUGGACCUUCUGGUUUCGUGUGUGUGAGCCACACCAUUCAUCUGAAGUCGACUGUCCUGUUUCUCCGUUCUGCCGAAAUGAUUUGAUGAUGCUGCAACUUUAGGCUUGAUUUUGAACCAGUUGCAUGCUGAAACUUAAAACGAUUUCUUCUGUGAAGUUGUAGCCCUAUGAAUCUAUUUUCUAACACUAUCAACCAUUUCCAAUUCCGAGUUAAAUUGAGGGAGUUAUGAUCAAUACACGGCAACUGCCUCGUUUUUGAAAACCUUAGUUUUGGACCGGCUCAAUCCUGGUAAUCUAGAACAGCAACUUUAGGCUCAUUUUUGAAUACCAUCCACUUAGAUUCAUGGAAUGAUGUCUUCUAAGGACUUUUAGUACUUUUGAAGACGAUUCCAACGGUACCAAAUUCAUCAAGUUUCGAUUAGUAGAAAGAAAGUUAUGAUUUUUCAAAGAUUUGACCAAAAAUCAAAAAUUCUGGAAUUCCAGAGGAAAUCCGCGAAGGAACAAUUUUACCAGAAUCCGGCCUUGAAUCCGGCCAGUUUCUGGACGGAUUGUCGGCCGGAUUGGUGGUCAAAUUUGAAAAAAAGGGAGGUUACCCACGGCCAGAAAUCCGGCCGGAUAUCCGGCCGGAUUGUGACGUGGCCAACCCUCCUUCGAUUUCGAUCGUUCGUUUUGCAAUCCUUUCGCUCGUACUCAAUUCCAACCAAUGAUUUUAAGGAUAAUAAUCCGAUUUUCACUUAAGUCCUACACCCUUUUGAGAAUCCAACUUAAUAAACAAGUCAAACGAAGUUUUCAAAUAUUUCCGAACCUUACCCGUGCCCAAUCUUUCUCACCACUUGGGGACCUAUAAUAAUUGUCUACUAUUCGAUGUUCAGGCACGCACGAGGACCUCCAAGAGGAUCCUACCGUGGAAGUUUGAACUCUCCCUCCAACCUACUUACUUGCAUAACUGGUGAGUGUCAAGUGUAUGCCUACUUGAACUCUAAAGUCUUGAUUCAUGAUUGACUUACCUGAUUAUAUGCUCGGUCUAUUGGAUUUUGAAAAAUGGAGUCGAGUGUGUACUUAAUCGCACUCGUUCUCAUUUGGAACAAAUGACUCAUGUUUGACAUGCUUUGCAUGGUUUAUAUGACCUGAAAUACAUGUUUGAACCUGUCAAAUGCUUGAAUUUAUGAAAUGGUAUGCUAUGAUUGCAUACGUCGAUGGAGUGAAUCUCCUCGACAUUUACAUGAUACACGGGGGACGCCCAAACUCAUAGGCCGACCUUGGAACUCGAGCCGGCAUGGGCCUGGUCGGGAACCUUGGUGAGCCAUGAGAAUUACAUGAUAAGCUUGAUCUAUUUGAGAGAUCUCGCUUGGCAUACUCGUGAAGUAUCGCCUUAUAAGUGUCGUGCGGGCCCGAAGUGGUGUAUGGUGGACGGAUGAGAAGUAAGUGGUGAACUACGGAUAUGAAAAUAUCAACCUGGUUGACGGAGAGUCAUCACGGGGAGAUAUACAAAUGACAUCGGCAAAUGUGGAACUUAACUCCUGAGAGCUUCCAUAUCCUUGAAUUGUUUCUGGUUACAUUUUGUCGGCGUUAUUACUUACUUGCAAGUGAUUACCUGAAUUGUUAUUUGGGGCUUGUUAUUUGAAUUAUGUGUCUGCAUGUGUGUUCUUGGCCUCACGAGCGUUUUUGCUCACCCUGUAGAUUUGUUUUCCUUAACAGGUUUGAACUCGGAGGUAAAAUGGAGAAGCCCUCUGAUGUACUUUUGUUUAGGGCUUGUUAUUACUUUUGGUUAUGCCUUUGGUUUUGAAAUUUUACUUUUGGUAUGGAAAUGUAACCCUUGGACGAAAUGAAAUCUGUAUUCUGACGUGUGGUUUGGUGAAUGGAUGACUAUUAUUAGGUUUGAAUACUUCCGCAUUUAUUGUAUUUAAGUUAUUGGCUUUUGUUGUGUGGUCCGGCUAUAACUUGAAUGGAAUUGCUUGAGUCCUGGCGAGAGUUAGGCAGGCGUUCCGCGGAUACCCUUUGGUUCGCCUUAGGGAGAAGUGGGGGCGUCACAAAUCAUGUAUGAGAAAAUGAAACUAAUGAAAAUAUUCAUGUGCAAUCAAUAUAAUAAAUUGUCAUCUUUAUAAUUUUUAAGUUUGCAAUUCAUAAAUAUGGUAACAAAUAAUGUAAUUCAUGUGCAAUCAAUAUAAUUAUAUUGUUAAUUAAGGUUAUAAUUGUGCUAUAUAAAGUAUUUGGGACAAUUUGAAAAAUAUCGAGAAAUUUGGGACUACUUAUAAUAUAUUCAAAAUGUAUUUUGAUUAAACUAUACAACUUGUCCUUUCUUGUUGUAAAUCCAAGUUCAAUUAUGGAACAAUAUACAUGGAAAAGUUGACCUUAUAUGUGUAUAAAUCAUCUUAUUAAUAAAAUAAUUAAACACAAUACAUUUAGUUAACUAUGAUUUAGUGAUUGAUUAUUACAUCAUUUUUUAUAUAAUACGAUAAUUAAAUAUUACAUAUAUAAUAAAAUGUUUCAAAUAUAUUUUAAUUGAUCAAAAAAAUGGUAUACUUACAAUAAACAAAUAAUUAAAGAAAAUUUUGAGAGUAGAAUUUUGUGCUAAAAACGUGUAUUUUGGGUUCAAAUUUAUAACCCACCACUUAUCCACUUAGAAUUAGCAAAAGUAUUAAUUCAUUUCUAAAUACUCUAAACCAUACUAAUUUAUUAUAAUAAAGACACAAAACACUAGCUCCAUGUGAUAACCUAUAGCAAAAAUCAUCUAUUCACUUUAGUAAAAUAUAUGAGUCAAAUUUAAAGAUUCAUCAAAUUUUCUAGGUUUUAAAAUUGGGGUGCGUUAUUUACAUGGAUUUAAAGCUGUCUGAAUAUAGUUUACUACGCAAUAAACGGCACUCAAUUUCGAGUUUUCUACACAAAGAUAUGGCCAAAAUACUAAAAUUAUUACUUAAUUUUUUGAAAAAUAGUAGGAUCGUAGGAUCAUAUGAUCCGGAUCACGAUCAUAUUGAUCUUGUUAAUUUAAUGCUAAUUUUUUAUCCUACUUACAAUUUGGAUCGUUAACCAUGAUCCGUAUCGUAGGAUCGUAGAUCGCGAUUCUAGCAACUAUGGUUGUAGCUAAAAGUUUCUAAGAAUUGGAGUAUAUUAUAUAAUAUAUAGAAUGAAUAUUGAGUAUUAGAAGUAUAUAAUUUGAAAGAAAUCAUGUAUGUGAAAAAUGCAACUAAUGAAAAUAUUCUCAAUAUACAGCUGAAAAAAUAACUAAGUUUGAUAAAUUUGCAUUUAAUUUUUAGAUAGAAGUUUGUUGUAUGAUAUGUAAUUGCCAUUUCUUGAAAUUAUUCUUCACUCUUAUACCUUCACUAAACUUCAAAGAACUUAGCUACACAUAAAAUAGAAUGAAAGGAAUGCUUUCAAGUGUGCUAGUAAGUAAAUAUUUAUACUAUAUCUGUGCUAAUACGUGUCCAUAUGUAUAAUUCAAAAGUUUUAUGUAUUUCAUAUACGAAUAUCUUUUUUCAAGUAACUGCAUAGAACACUUGAUAGGUUGUAUUUUUGCCAUUAAUUUUAUGAUUAUUUCCCUCUUUAUUUUACCAAAUAUUGUAUUAAUUGAUAGAUUCUACUUAUAUUUGGUGCUUUAUGUUAAUUAUAGGACGUUGGGGUAAAAAGUGCUAAAAAAGGGUGAUUUUCUUGGAAUUGAUUGUCACUCGCAAGUUUCCCAAUUCAAGAUGAAGUCUACGUGGAUUAUUUGUGGAAGAUUAGGAAAUUACCAUUUUUCUUAGAUAUUUUAUUUAGAAAACAAUUGGCAUUAUUCUUGGAGUUACCUUUUUCAAUUGACCCGCUUCCGAAGUUACUUCCUUCGUUAGAGCUCGUUUAUCGUUGAUUUAAAUUUAAUCUGUUUUAGUUUAAUUAUUUUCAAUUUGCAUUGAUUAUUUAUUUUUAAUUGCAAUUUUCCAAACUCCCCCCCCAAUUAAUUGUCACUUGGAAAGAAGCAAAUUUUCACUCAAAACCUUGAGUUUAUAUCUUUUUGAGUAGGAAUUUAUUAUUACACAAGUCUGACACCUGUCAAUUAACACAAGGUUUCAAGCAAUGCACAGUUUCUUUUGUACCUAGAAUAGCUAAUGUAGCAAGUCAUAUGCUAGCACAUUUUGCAACAUAACUAGUUUAUGAUAUAGAAUGGGUACAUGAUUUCCCGAUUUGACUAAUAGAAGGGUGAAUGCCCCUUUUUGUAAUUAACUCUUGCACUUCAAGUGUUAACAUAUAUACUGAUUGUUGAAAAAAAAAGGAAAGUGUUUAUUUGUUUAAUCAAAUAGUUAUGGUAGUGUUUAUAUAAUUUCGUAAACAUUGAAAGGUAAAUGACCUCGUUGAAUUUGUAUAAUUUGAUUAUGUUGAAGAAACAUAUAAUCUUGGAAAAGCAGAGAAAUUUUCUAGUAAAUAUUAGAUAAACAAACAAGUCAUUAUUUUAUUUUGAUAGCUAAUCAUUGUUCAUAUCAAUAUACUAGCUAUAAAGUUAUACUCGCAAUACUACUAUUACGGUAUAAAAUUUCUUGUCAGAGCAAUUUAUAAUUUCAUCCCAUUUUUACCGUUGACUGUUAACCUCAAGUUCUUCGGAUAUCCAUGGGACAGUGUAACCCCUUUGAAGGUCAAUUCUUAUUGUUGAUGUGGCGUGUCCCACAUCGGAGGCUGCAUAAGGAAGUUUUCUUCCUUUUGUCCCACAUCGGCAAUCAAGAAGGAAAGCCUCCCCUUGUUUACCUAUAAAUAAGGGGGCUUAGUGGUGAAGAAAAGUGCACCACUCAAGAGAGUUAUAUGAGCUAUUAGCUUUUUGAGUCAUUUAUCCCAUUUGUAGUCAAAUGUUUUAUGUUCUCUUGUUUUGAGUUUAGGAAUAUUUUCUAAACUUUUUAUGAGUGCCUUUUGGCCUAGGAACCACUUUUCUACGGCUUUUGUAUAUCUUCUUCAUAGUGAAAGAUUUGCUCCUCCUCUGUCCAUGGACGUAGGUUAAUUUGACCGAAUCACGUAAAUUUCUGUGUCUUUUAUUUUGUUUUGUUAUUUGUAUUUAUUGGGUUGCCACAACCCUUUUAUAUGGUCAGUCUUACAGCCUAAAGUAUUAUAUGGUCGAUUUUAACUCCUAAACAUUAUAUGGUCGGUUAUACCGCCUACUUUGUGCUAACUUCAGUUUGUUUAUUUCUGGACCAGUUCUAACACUUACACCCUCAUCAAAGUUUCUGGAGUUGCGUAUUAUAGGGGUGCAAACACAAAAACGAGACAUUCUUAAUCAGAUGGAGUUCCUUCUUUUUGCGAUUCAUUCCUCUGCAAACCUCCUCCUCCUCCGAUUUUAAUAUAUGCCACUGUUAAAAUAGGAUACUUUUGUGGGUUUAAGAUUAGAUCGAGACGAACUCUUUUGUGCAAAACAUUUGCCCCAGGCAUCGUUACUACAGAGUAUGUGAUCCAAUUACCAAUGUAAGGUCACAAUGUUAGAGAUGUGAAAUUAUAUUGCAAUGGUCCCUAAAAUCCAACUUGAUCGAUAGGAAUACUAAUUAGGUGAAUACGAGGACUGUGAUUCGACUCUCGAUCUUUCCUCUCAAAUUACAGUAAUAUUUUUAAUCAUACACUCAUCCCCUUACUAACUUCCUAUGGGCCCAAUAUGUUGAGUAGAAUUCGAUUGGAACAACCGAAAAGAAAAGAAAAGAAAACAAAUACAAAACAAUGAAAUAGAGACUUAGUUAGUCAAGUUGGAAGCUAUGAGGAAGUGAGGAGCACAAGUGCGAACAGAUCACCAAGGAAAAAGAAACAAGUUUUUCGAGAAUGCAAUUUGAUUUCAAGCUCAAUCAUAUUCUAAGAGUCAAUGAUAAGAUAGAAAAAAUGUAGGUCCAUUGUUAAGAUAUAGACGGAGAUGGUUGCUUAUUGAGCGUUGGAAGUAUUUCAUAUGCAAGUUGUAAUUAUAUCUCAACUUGUAUAAUUUUAAUUUAAUAAGGUUAAAUUAAUGACCAUGUCAAUGAUUUAUGCGUCAUGCAUGACAUUCUUUUUUCUUGUACUCUCCCAAAAGCUGAAAAUUCUCGUCUCAAUCUCCUCCUCCACCGAUGGCUGCAUGUCUGUACAUGUUUCCCCACAACAAGAAUAAUGAAUCAAUUGCCAUAAUUGCACGCAUUUAAAUUUUCUGAGCUGGUGAUAAAUUGCAUAGUUUUGAUUUUUUUCUAUUUCCGGUUCCCACUCUAGCUACUUCUAGAUUUAUUAAUUGGAAAAAAAAAGAAGAAGGAAUAAAUUAAACCUUAUUUAAUUACUUUUUUAGUCAGGAUAUCUAUAGUAGAUGUAAUUAUCUCUAUAGAAAUGAAUGAAGCAUCCUAGCUUGUGAUCAUUAUCCUCUGUUGCAAUUCUCUUGUUCAAACUUCAAGUUAAGGUUUGUUUGCUAAUUUAAUGGAUUCAGAACUUAAAUUUAAUGGAUUCAAAUCUUAAUAUAUUCAAAUGCUUUUGAUAACCAAAACUUCAAUAUCUGAAUUAAUUAAGUGACACUAAAUUUUCUAGACAAAACUUACUCCUAAAAAUAAGUGAUAAACUAUUUACUUAUCACUUAAUGUGAUAUAUACUCAAAUGUAUCAGAUUUAGUACAUAACAAUUUAAUAACUUAAAGAAUUCAGACUUCAGAUUUCAGUUUUAUCAAACGCAUCUUAACUCAGUGCAAACUGAAUAUGAAAUCCAAAGUGGAAAAUCCAAGAGGUUAGAACUUUGAAACCAUAGGGCCUCUAGGCAAAUUCAGCAUUUUUACAUUCUACUGAUUUAGGGCAUCUUCAAUUAUCAGUUUCAACUCCAUGGUAUAAUAUAGAUAUUACCUCUAAUAGUUGUACACACUUACGCAACAAAUAUAGAUUGUGAAAUUAAUUGUAUAAGUUUGAUAUUUUGUAGGUUUUGGGAUAUAAUUUUCACGUUUAGGAAAAAGAAAAUAUGUUAGUAAGUAAUAAUGUGAUACCCCUUGUCCCACGUUGGAAGUGGGAGAGGAAAAGGAUUGAUAUAUAUACAAGAUUUGGUCGCAUAAGUUACUAGUUACUUGGGCUAACCAUGUCGGAAAGUGUAUUUCGACACAAAAAUUACUUAGGCCAACCAUGGGCUUGGAUGGUGAUAAAUAACUUACUAGAAGCCAGGCAUAUUUAUGUUUAGAUGUCCUAAAAGCAGAGUAGUUCAUAAUCUAGAUAAUGGUAACGAUAUGAUGAGAAUGUGAAGUUAUUUGGUAAACUUUAUAGAUUAAUAAUUUCAUCAAAGCAUCAUAUACAAGCAUGAUGACACAAUCUCAACUUUCAUUCUUUUGUUAAAUCUUAGUUUUUUUCUCUUAAAUUUUUUCGAAUAAAGGAAGGAUGGAAUUUAAGCAGUAGAGGGUGGAAGGGGAUUUUGAAUUCAAAAUCUCUAAUUUCUAAGUUUUUCCCUAAGCAAUCGUCAAAAUAAAAAAAAAAUUUAAAAGAAAAAAAAAUGAGCACCUCAUGGUCAAUGCUCCUGUUCGAAGAUUUAUUCCUUUGGUUUGUCAUCAUCUCCCUCUAUGAAAUCUAAGUACCCUUGGUUGACAAUUUGUUUCCCUGAGCAUCCAUCAACACUUUUAUAUAGUAUUUUUUUUAAUAUAGUAUUAGAUUAGAUUAGAUUAGAUUAUCAAUGCACCAUCAAUAUAGUAUUAGAUUAUCAAUGCACCAUCAAAACACUUUUAUAUAGUAUUAGAUUAGAUUAGAUUAUCAAUGCACCAUCAAUAUCCUUAAAUAUAAAAGCUUAAGUAUAGUAAUCAAAAUACUGUUAGUAAUCUGUACGAUUAUUUUUUAUCCUUUAAUGUUUUAGUUUUAGGAAGAUCACAAAUGCUGCGUAUAAAGCAUGCCAUAGGCUAAAUUAAGCUAAAUUAAGUACACUGCUAAAAUGGAGAGCAUUGCUAAAUUAAGUACCUUAAGAUAAAGACAUAAGCAGCCAGAUCCAUUUGAUGUCAGCUGCUUCAAUAUCCACCUCAAAAUAAAUUAGCCUUUGUUCUAGAUUUAGCUUAAUGCUAAGUCCCUUCACCAUUCUUAGUAAUAAUUCAAUUCUGCCUCAAUUUUCUUCUGAUCUUCAAGGUAAAUGUACGAUAAAUUUCAAAAUAUAUCCCAAAUAUAUGAAUUUCUUGAAACCAUCCUUGAAUCUCAUUACCUACUCAACAAAAUGUUCCAUAAACAUAAAGAAUUGACGAGAACAACAGGGCUCCUUAGAUUUAACAAUUUCAAAUAAGCCCAAGCUAGAAUUUUUCAUAUAUUCAAACAAGAAAUUGGAAAAAUCUGACUAGCUUGCAACGAGUACUACAUCUCAAGACAAAGGAUCUUUUCAGUCACUCUUUUAUUGUAUCGAAAACCUACUUGCAUCUAUGAAUAAGCAAUACUGUGUGAUUUUAGAUGUGAAGCUAAUUCCAUGUGGUAGGACAACUUUGGUUUAAAAAAUAAGGGCAGUCCAAUUCACUCAAUACAAAAAAUAUUUUUAAAUGAUGAUAUUCACAGGAACGUCUAUCUUACUUAAACAAACAAACAAAAAAAAAACAAUAAAAAGGAGAUUGAUUUAGAAAUGUCCGGAGACUUGAGACAUGGACGCUUCAUUAGUCAAUAAUAAUAAAGUCCGGAGACUUGAGACAGGGACGCUUCAUUGAGACUGUUGUGACCAAUUCAGCCCAUAUAGGUAAAAGAAAUGGAAUAAAUCGACAAGAAAUGGUGUCAUCACAUUUUAUUCCACAUUUACCCUUAUAGACCCUAAAAGAAAUAUUGUAACAUAGGACAAACUUUGUCGCUCCGAAGUUGAAUCACUUUUCUAUUCUAUAUACUAAACUUCAAUUUUGGACACUUUGCAUCUGGUUGGAGGCAAAAGCACAGGAAAGCCCUUUUUGAAUGGAAAUAGCAUAAAAGUCUUAGUGAAUGAACAAAUUGAAUAGACCAUUUUGCAGAGCUGUGAGAUAUUCCAAAGCCGUGAAGCACAGUGAUAAGCUACAAAUUAUAGUGGUUUAUAUUUAUUAAUUGUCAAUGAAUGGUUGUAUUUGAGCUAUAAUUUGAAUGGAUGUUGCCUAAUUUAAGUAUAUGUUGGUUUUUGUGGGAAAAGCACGCGAUUGAGGAGGAAAUGAAUCGAAAACGCAACAAAAGGGGAAGAAACGUUGGGUUGCCAAGACACAAGGAUCCGCGGGUGGAUCCUGUGUCCGACGCCAAACAUUGAAAGGGACUUUGCGAGGACUUCUUCUAGUUCUAAUGAUUGGAAAACCCACUAAAACUCGAUUUUUGGCAAGUUUCAAGACCCAUUCUUACCAUAUUUCGGAUACAACUUUCAAGACCCAUUCUUAGUUCAUCAUUUUUAUAUCUUCUUUUCUUGAGAGAUCACAAUGGAAUUGUUGAAGAAUCAAAGGAAGUUCAAGAUGGAGAUUGGAGCGGGGAAAAAUUAAGAAGUUUUCUUUACUUUUAACUUCUUAUUUUGUCUUUCAUUUGAAUUCUUGGAUUUAUCUAUGAAUAUGUUGAACUCAUUUAUAUCUAAAGUUAGGAUUUUGUGAAGGAGAUUUAAUUAUUUGUUCUAGAUAAAUUAUUCGCUUUUGCUUAGAUUUAUUUAUCUUGCCUUUAUUACAUGUUUAUGUUUUGCCACUAUAGAUAUGCUUUUAGGAUUUGUAUUGAGUUGAGAAGCGAUAUACAACCGUACAUUAGAUAGAUAAACAUACUUAGUAUAAUCAUGAAAGUAGGUUAAACAUUGUAUGGCAUAAUUAUAUCACCUAAGAUUUUAAAAGAUUUAAUUAAAUACUUAUAAUCUGAAGAGCAUCGUGAGAUUUAUUAGACAAAUUUAGAAGUAUCAAGAGAUAAUCUAAAGUACUUUUACGUGAUACGUCUUUGACUUGUCAAGAAAAUAAUUGGAUAUAUAAUUCCAAUUCUGAAUCAAAAUUUGAAACUCUGUUUUUUGCUAAUUGUUUUCUCACCCAUAUCUUGUUUGAUUUGAUUAUUUAUUUAAUUUCUUAAUUAGUGAUUAAAAACCCUCUGAAUUUAAAUUUUGUUAUUUUUAUUAGAGGAAUUAAAGUAUGAAAAAUUAACUCACUGCUGCAGGUUCGACCCUACAGUACUUCAAGGGAAUUAUUAUUACGAUCGACCCUGUACAGUUAUAGAAAUUCAUCGAUCACACAGCAACUAAAAAAAAUUAAUGCACAAUAAUGUCAUGAGCAGAAACAGUUCGCAUCUUAGCUGUUCAUCAUUCACGUAGAUUUCAAUUAGUGGUCAACAAAUAAAGGCAUCGAAAAAAGUAAUCCAACUAGAUAAGUGAAUUUAUACUACAACAUAUUUCUUUUUUCUACCGCAAAAACUUAACUAAUUUACGACAAUGUAGUCCAAGCUAAUUGAAGAUUAAUUUUCCCUAAAAAAUGUUCAUGAUAAAAACUCGACAAAGAGAUAAUACAACAGCUUACUUUUGGAGAUGAUCUUAUACGGUAUUUAUUAACAAACCAAUGAGGAGCGACAAAAUGUACAUAGGUUCCCUCCAUAUAUUAGCCACUUAAGCCUUUUUUUUUCCUUUUGGGACUACACAUGACAAAAUGAGGAGUGAAUAAGUCACUUAGCAUCAAAAAUUUUCCCUCCAUAUAAUUAGUUCAACCUGAUUUAAGACUAAAUUUUUACUAUAGGAAUGUUAGUGAUUCAACAAUGAAACACCAUAGAAACUUAUUUUGGGAGAUUGUCCUAGAAGAUAAAAAAUGAGCAACCAAUCAGAAUCCAUUCAGUCUAAUUAAUUCACCAGCUAUGUAUAUUUCAUCCAUUUUCACAUUAUAGAAAGAACAAUAAUGCAUGGCUUUAUCCAUCAUAAAUUGCUCGUAUAACAUCAAGAUAUUCAUGGUGUGGACCGCAAAUGGCUCGUCAUGUCUACUGGCUACAUUUUAAACAUAUCUUAUGGCCAGAAUGAUCAUCUUAUCAACUUAACGAGUUUAUUCAUAGUACCAUACCAUUAAUUUAAAAAAGUUUCAACCUUUUACCUUCUAUAGAUGUCAAGGAAUAUAGCUAAUAACGCACUUUUGGCAGCAAUCUUCCUUCACCCAAUUAAAGAUUUUCGGAGCUUAAAGUUCAGCUCCUAAAGCUCUUCUCCAAGGCUCACCAACCAACAGAGAAAUUACUUUUAGCAAAGUUGUUAAAUUUUGGCAACAGGUUUUGAUGGCAUCUUGGUAAGAUUGGAAGAUUAUACUGCGCUUCUAAGAUAAUGUUUAAAAAAGCUAUUUUAGUGAGGGCAUUAUGGUCAAUUUGCCCCUGAUGAUAUUGACAUUAGGUCCCAUCAACAUCAGAAGGGAGCUCAUUGUAUUAUUGGAUAUAACAAGGGUGCUAGUGAAAUUAUGAAAACCCCAAGGGAGGUUUUUGAAAUUAACCCUAAAAUACUCAUUCCACGCGAGGCGUGGCGUUCCCCUCCUAGUUCCUAUAAAUAGGGCACCAACUCAAUGCACUUAUCACUCGAUAUCAAUAAUUUAGCACAUUAUUUACAUUUUGAGUGAGAUUGUGAUCAAAUGGCAUCUUCAAAAAAUUUGCUCUUUCUUAUUGGUGUUCUCUUUGCACUUGUGCUCCUCAUUUCCUCUGAUGCAGCAGCUGCAGGUGCCUAGUCCUUUUUUUUUUUUCCUUUCUUCCUUUUUUUUUUUGGCUGCACCUAAACACUUAAAUGAAUGGAGAUUUGGAGACUCAUUAUUGGGAUGUGAAUUUUUAUGGAAGUCUAUUUGCAUAUUAUCUAGCAAGUCAUAUUAAUGUGCUAAUAUCUUUUUCAUUGUUUAGCAAAAGUAAAUUUGGGUUGCUUCUAUCAAUGGUUAGUGGCACAUCUGAUUUUUCAUGCAUCCUUAUAGUAUUGCUGUAAGGAUACACGUUCCAUAGUGUCGCACCAAAGAUUAAACUAACGUUGAAAACCAAAUUAAAUGCUUCUAAUUAUAAUUUAAAGCAAAAUAAUUCAUAUCCAAGUCGCACCAUCUUAUAUGCCUGGACUGUUUUGUUUAAUCCAUAUUCUUUUCUUUGCAUAUAUCUUGCAAAUUUUCAGCCUAGCCGGUCACCUAACGUUCGCAGCUUAAGAUAAAGCUCCAAAUAUUUAUGUCUCCUUGUGUCUUGAAACAGAUCAGAAGAGCAAUAAAACCACUGGUGUCCACGAUGCCAGUUCAGGCGAGGUUCAUCAGGAUAGCAUAAGCGAAGAUCGUUGCACAUAUGGUUGCUGCCGCUGGUACAAUGGAUAUUGCCAAAGAUGCUGUCCACCUCGUGAGAAUUGCAGAUAUGGUUGCUGCAGCUGGUACAAUGGAUAUUGCCAAAGAUGCUGUCCACCUCCUGAGAAUUGCAGAUAUGGUUGCUGCCGCUGGUACAAUGGAUAUUGCCAAAGAUGCUGUCCACCUGCUGGGUAGACCCCUGAAGCUACAUCCGGAGAUGAGGUCAAAAAUUAAUGCUAAAUAAAUAAGGGUGUGACACAGGAUCCGUGACACCUAUAUUAUUACCUUAAUAUGUUAUGUUGUGUUUG